CAACUCUCGCUGAUCAAGGAUCCUAAGAAGGGGGACCGUCAACCUAUCUACCUGCACAUGCGGGCAUGAAACGCAGCGUCCGCAGGCAAAAAGGGACGUCGGUACGAAUAAUAUACUGAGUAUGUAAAGCAUGAAAAUCAGUACAUACAAGACAGAUGAAACAUGGGGUAAAGAAUUCCACCUGUGAGUCUAAAUAACUUUGUGAAUCCUGAAACAUUUAUAAUAUUAUGCACGUGAGUGUAAAUGUCGUAUCAUGCAUAGGUAUAGGUGUACAUAAUAUCAUCAAGCCUCUGAGAGCAUCCCAUCAUAUCAUUUCGGCCACUGUGGGCAAACCAUCAAUGUAUAUCAGCUGAUCAGGUGGUGGUGCGUAUAUAACGCCUUAACCCUUUUCCAUAUCCCAUAUACAUAUAAUAUAUGCGUAUAUAAUGCCUUCUGGUCAUGGGUCAAUGUACAUGUAUAAAUGCAUGAAAUGCAUAGGAAAUACGUUAAUAAGAUUUCUCUAAUAUCAUAAAAUCAAUAUGCCUUCCGGACAAACUUUAUCAAAUACAUAUUUUUCUGAGACCCAUGAACAGAGAAUAUAAUAAUAAUUCACAUGGGGAAUCAAGAAUAUAGACACCCCUAGUAUUUCUAUGAAUAGAGUCAUUUAUGAAUGUUGUGUAUUUUGCUCGUUUCGUCUGUAUUAUUUGGAUCAUGCCAAAAAAAAGGAUAGCCUUAACAUACCUCAAGUCGUCAAUGCAACUCAACAACAAGCUUAUGACAACUAGCGCACCAACCCUAUAGCAAAGAAAUACGUGUACAAUUUAGAUGGCGGUAGUAUAUUACGUAUCUCAAAUGAUAACUCGAUUUAAAAAUAAAACGGGCAGCAUUUUCCCCCGAUUUUACUGCCCCCUCAAGCCUACUAUAGGCGAGAUACAAACAUAAUACAAUCAGCAACUCAAAACUAACCUAAUUACGACCCGGGACCUUCAAUACAACAAACCCCCCAAAUAUACCAUAAUACACCCAAUCAACAAAUUAUCAAUUAACCUGCAACUACUACGACGAGCGACCAACCUACUACCCUACCACAUGUGGCGUUUCUCCAUGCCAUUUUUAUCCUUCCAAACUCCAUAAAUCAACAUCACAAUAGAAAUCCCAAAAGCAACACAAAGCAGCCCACAAAACAGUCUACUACAAAUCAAAUAACUCGAACUCACGGCUUUCGAUCAUCGUCCCGUGAGGUCUAACUAUUAGGAAACGAAUUUAUCAACUUUUCUUGAUAUUUUAAAGCUUAAAUACAGAAAUUAAUAUUUUUAUUAUCUAUUAAAUACAUUCCAAAACUCAAACUACAAAGAAAAAGAGAGGUGAUAUAGUGAUACUUACGUACCCGGGAUGUUAGUAUUAUUUGAAGCUAUUAGAGAGAUCAAGGACCAUUUUUUAUGGUGCCUCUGGUCAGAUUCUAAGUAAAAUGAAGAGAGAUAGACGAGUUAAAACAUAUUUAUCAACACUUUUGAAAAGUCAAAAGGUGCUAGCUUGGCACCCUCUUAUUCGCCCAUCUUACGACGCUUAUAUCUUUUUAUCCAGAUGUAGUAUGAAUGAACAAUUAAGAGCAUUGGAAACUACAUUUCAAGACCUUCAAUUUAGUAUAUAAUAUGUCCGAAAAAUACCUAAUAUAGCACACGAAAUUUAUUUCUCAAAAGCUAUGGUAUAGGGCAAAUUCUUAGUCGGUUUUUCCGCAACUUUAAUCCGAUUUUCCCCAAACUUUAUGUGUUUUGUCCAAACAUUAUAUAUAGUCAUAUUAUGACUUUAAACUCAUUUAAAUCAUGAUUAACAAGUCUCAUAUUCAUUAUACGUCACCUUGGGACGUACAAGGUGUAACAGAAAGUACGGUUUCAGCUUCCUAAGGCGCUUAGCAAAGCGAGUGCCAGUAUUUCUAGGUGAGGGUAUCUAGUUUCGGCCUCGUCUAGGGUCCUGCUAACAUAGAUUGGAAAUUGCAUACCUUCCUCUUCUUGGAUCAGGACUCCACUAACCGCUAUGUCAGAUAAGUAUAAAUGUUCGUCUUUCUUCGGAGUAUAAAGCAGAGAUGGGCUCGAGAGAUACCGCUUGAGUUCCUCCAAGGCCCGUUGGCACUUUGAGAUCCAUGAGAAGUUUUUUUUUAACUGUGAUAAGAAACUGUGGCUCUUGUCGGAGGACCUCUAGAUGAAUCGCCCCAGGUCGGCUAUGUGUCCGAUUAACCUUUGAACGACCUUGAUGUUAUCCACAACAGUGAUAUCUUUGAUGUCCUUGAUCUUAUCGGCAUUAAUCUCGAUUUCCCGGUUGGAUACCAUGAACCCGAGGAAUUUCCCUGAUCAGACUCCGAAUGCACAUUUCUUCGGGUUCAGCUUCAUAUUGUACUUCUUCAAUAUGCUGGAAGUUUCCUGCAAAUAUUUCAAAUGGUUCACUGCUCGUAGGGACUUAACCAACAUAUCGUCAAUGUAAACCUCCAUUGAUUUUCCUAUUUAUUCUUCGAACAUCAGAUUUACUUGGCGUUGGUAAUUGUCACCGGCAUUUUUAGUCUGAAUGGAAUCAUAUUAUAGCAGUAGGUGUCGUACUUAGUGAUGAAGGAAGUCUUUUCCUGAUCGUCAGGAAGUCUUUUCCUGAGGAUCUCGUGGCCGGCCGUUGCAUCGAUCAUGCGAUCGAUGUUAGGCAAAGGGAAAGAGUCCUUGGGACACGCCUUAUUCAAGUCUUUAUAGUCUAUGCAUAUUUUUAAUUUUUUCCCUUUUUAGGGACUACUACUAUGUUUGCUAACCAAGGUGGGUACUUAACCUCCCGGAUGGACCCUAUUUUAAGGAGUUUAGAUACCUCGUCCUUGAAGAAUGUGUGCUUGACCUCAGACUGGGGUCUCCUCUUCUGCUUGAUCGAGUAGAACUUUGGGUCCAAGCUUAGCUUGUGAGUUGUUAUUUACGACGGGAUCCCUGUCAUAUCAAGGUGGGACAAAGCGAAACAAUCUAUGUUAGCCAUAAGGAAUUGAAUGAGUUUUUUCCUGAGUUCAGGACACAACCCCGUGCCCAGUUAUAUCUUUCGAUCGAGCAAGUUCUCGAUCAGUACAACUUGCUCCAGUUCCUCGGCUGUCAAUUUGGUAACAUCGGAAUCGUCGGGGGCUAUAAAAGAUCUGGGAACCCCGUAAUCAUCUUCUUCAUCGUUCCCCUGCUUCUCCGGUCGGAUCGGGGCCGAUGUAGGUAACUGCUAUUUGGCUUCUUGCUUGGCAUCCAAACCCAGACCUUUUGUCGUUGUAAGUGCGGAUACCGGAACUACCUCGUCGAUUGCAAACAUCUCUUUUGCAACUAGUUGUUCUCCGUAAAUUAUUUUUAUCCUUCUUGGUGAUGGGAAUUUUAUCACUUGGUGGAGAGUCGAGGGUACUGCCCUCAUUUGUGGAUCCAUGGCCUUCCGAACAGAGCGUUGUACCUCAUGUCUUCUUCGAUUACAUAGAACUUGGCUUUCUGAAUGGUCCCGGCGACAUUUACCGGUAAUGUUAUCUCCCCUUUAGUGGUCUCACAUGCCAUGUUUAAUCCGUUUAGAACUUAGACUGCGGCUACGAUCUGAUCUUGAAGACCGAGCUGUUCAACGACCCUCGAUCUGAUGAUGUUGGCUGAGCUACGUGGAUCAAUCAACACACGCUUAACUCGAGAUUUAUUUAUGAGUAUAGAUAUUACCAGUGCAUCGUUGUGGGGCUGCAUGAUCCCUUCAGCGUCCCCGUUGUUGAAAGACAAGGUUCCCUCCGGCACGUAAUCCUGAGUCCAUUUUUCCCUUGUGAUGGAUACUUUGGUGCGCUUCAGCGUCGGCCCCUAGGGAACGUCGACCCCGCCGAUGAUCAUGUUAAUGACGUGCUGAGGUUCCUCCUGCUUGAUUUGUUUAUUAGAAUCUCUAUUCCUAAAAUGAUUCUUGGCUCGAUCACUCAGGAACUCUCGGAGAUGUCUCUUGUUGAAUAAAUGGGCUACUUCCUCUUUUAAUUGUCUGCAGUCCUCCGUUCUGUGGCCGUGAGUGCCACGAUAUUUGCAGCAGAGAAGAUGAGGAAACAGUCAUUCAAUGCCUUCACAGAUUCUACAUCCCCCCUAGGCCCUAGCAAAUAAGAGUAGGUCAUCUACGAAACAUAGAUGAGUAAUAUCUAGUUUUCCACAUCUUUGAUGGUACUUGAAAUGUUUCACUUACUUCAGACCAAGGAGGGUCGUGCUCAAAUAUUCCAUAGCUAUGAUUUUUACUAACCCUAAAAUUGUUUUAUAUAGUAUGAUCUAUCUGUUAACGUGCAAAAAAUUAGUUCGAGUCAUUAUUUGGGUAAAAUGUUAGGGAAUAUCAAAUGAUUUUUUUAAAAAAAAUAAUAGCCAACAAAUAUAUAUAUUUUUUAUGUGUAUUAUAUACAAAAAUAUAUGUAUUUUAUACAUUUGUUUAUUUAACAAAUGUAAUUAAUUUCAGUCGAUCGUUAUUUUUAUAUUUUGCCCUUAAAUGUCGGCUCUGGUUACUGAGGUGGAAAGGCACCUUUAAUUGAUUUAGCAUGCCUAUUUGAAUGGGUUUUCGGAUUAUAUUUAUUUUUUGAAUAAUAUAAGUUCAGUCAUUAGAAAAAUGAUAAAAAUUACUACAUUUUAGUAAGAAAUUCUUAGGGUAAAUGGUUUUUUAAGAAAUUAACUCCAUAAAUACUGGGUACUCGUAUAUAGAUGCAGACUUUGCUCUGCCAUCUGUCGAUUUGUUUUAUUGUACGUACAAAAAGACAGUUAUUUUUGGGCAUUUUCCUGUUUCCCAUUGCUUUUUAGGUAGAAAUUAAAGGUCAAGCCAUCGCUUGUGCCAAGUUAACAGCUGUCUAAAGGCUGACCUACAAGAUUCCUUAUACGGCUAAGAGUUCUUGAAUACAAGGUUCCAAAAACCAAAUUAACAACGUAAUAUCAUUAAAUUUCACACUUUUGUCUCCUUGAAUGCAAAUUUUUUUUUUAACAAAAAGAACAAAAGUACUACCUUUGAUUCAAUUUGUAUGAGCUAUCUUGAUUUGGUAGGGAUUUUAAAAAAGAAAAAAAUAGAAAGUUUUAAAAUUUAUAAUUUAAAAUUAAAUUGUUUGAGCAUUCUUUUCCAAGUAUACUAAUAAGGAAGUACUAGCAUAUAUAAAAUGAAACGGAAAGAAUAUAUGUUUUACCCAAGUAAGGAAAAUCUAUAAGUACAUUAUUAGCAACGCUGCAGUUAUUUCUGUUUGACUUAUAGGUUAGCAGCCACUAAUUUUUACAUUAGAGUGAGAUAUUUUUAUCACGCCUCUUGAAGGUGGGGCUCUUUCCCAAAUCUGUGUGAAUGCGGAAUAUUUUAUACACCGAACUACUUUUUGUUAUUACGCAGAGGAUACCAGUGAUUUAUCAUUACUGUUCCAUCUAUCUACAUGACUACAUCCAUGGAAUAAUGUUCUUUAAAGACAUAAUUAGUAAAUUAAUGUGGUAUAAUAUAUCAAUAAUAACUAGUAUUCUCACUAAGACUAUAACUCAGUAGAAAAAAUGGAUUUAUAAAUGCAACAGAUACACACCAUAUUUUAUCAGAUUAUCAAAAACUUAGCAUGCGAAUCAUGUCACAAAUAAGUACAUUCCUCCCUAUGUAAAUAUAUAUUUCUUUUCUUUUUGUACGAAAUUAUUGACCAUUUAUUAGAAGUAGUUGUGACCUUUUAUUUACAUAAAUAUUGUUGUAUAACUUUUUAAAAAUUGGCUAGCUAUGACUCUUUAGAUUCUUCUGUAAAAUGUUAACGGACCGGAUCACAAUCUAAAUGGCCCAUUAAGACGUGGCCUCGGGCCACUGGAUUGGGCCUAGUUAUUCCACAUUGUAAAGGGACUAGUGUGGACCCAGUUACUCCUUUUUAGAAGACUCCUUUUUUUCUUUUUCUAAAUCAAUGUUUGUUUAUAAAAUUUUCAAUUUUCACUUAAAGAUGCAUUUUGAAAAUUUUCGAAAAUUUAAAAAACUCCAAAAAGCUAUUUUUCAAAAUUCACUCAAAUCACUCACAAAACUUCAAAAAUAACCCAAAAUUAUAUUCAUGUCCAAACAAAACUCUAAAUUUCAAAUACCAUUUUCACUUGAAAAACUUUUUCCCCCAAUUUUGGAAUUUUACAAUUCUUAUGUCCAAAUGCCCACUUAAGCUAAAUACCCCUGCACUUCUUAAAUUAAAGAGAUUUUUACCUUCCUACACUAUAUAUGAAACUUUAUUACCCUCCCUAAUCAAGUUUUAACUUAAUUACAUGGUCAUAUACAAUUUACUAAUUAUAUACAAAUUAGUUUUAAAUGAGUAUCCCUUUAAAUUAGGAUUUGAAUAAGGAAUCAAUUAUUUUUCCAUCCUUAUUCUCUCUCUCCUGCGCUCUAUGUCGGUCUCUCUCUCUCCGUCUCUCUGUCUCUCUAUCUCUCUAUCUCUAUUCUUUCCCCAAAUUUUCUUCCGCUGAUGUUCUCUAUUUUUAUCCUUUCAUGUUGUAUAUAUUUUUAAUGGAAUUCAUCAAUGGAUUUCAAUCAUUUUACUAUAGAGUUUUAACUUAGCAAUUUUCUUUCAUGUUGCACAAUUGGUGUUCAUAUUGAAAUUGUCAAUCAAUAAAUUUUGAAGGUGUUUGACUCUCCACCAUUAACAGCCAUUAAAAAGUUUUGAAACUUUGAAAUCGAAUCUGGGUUUUCAAAAAUUACUAUUUGUUUGGAUUGGGUGUUGUUGCAAACAAUUGGGAAUAUUGUUUGGACUUUAUAUCUCAAUUUUGAGGGUAUUUGGUGAAGAUUAGACUUGCUUUUACGUAAAUUUCAGAUUGAAACUCGAAGAAGAAGAACACAUGACAUACAAUGUACUUGCAAAAUUAUAGUAAAGUUGUAUGUAAAUUGUAUUUAAGUUGUAUUCUGUUGUAAAUAUUUUUUUUUAUUUGAAUAUGGUAUGAAAGUUGAAAAAUAGUUGUAUAAUAUAUGAAUCGUUGUAUGAAAUUUGUAUUUAAGUUAUAAAUACUAUCUUUUUACAUAUAGUUGUUGAUAUGUAUCAAAAUUAUUUUAAGAGAGAAAGUUUUGAUUGGAAUUUCAGAAAAGAUGAAGAACACACCACUUAUAAAAUAUAUACAAAUUAUAGACAAAAUAUAUACAAAAGACAUUAUAUAAAAUUUGUAUUAAAAUUGUAUUUAAGUUAUAUGAUGUUGUAGUUAUAUUUAACUGGGUAGAAAUAAUAUAUGAAAGUUGUAAAUAAGUUGUAAUUAAAUUGUAUACUAUAUAAUUAGUUGUAUGAAAUUUAUUUUUAGUGUGUAUGUUAUUCUAUUAGUCGUAAUUGCCAGGACAAUUGGGUCAAUGCUUACAACAAGAAUAAUGCGACAAAAAUGGUACGAAAAUAAAGAAGAACAAGUUAUCUAUUUAGAAAAUAAAGACAGCAACCUACACAACACUUUGAGAUCCCAUUGCUGUCAUCAAUGUUGUGAAUCCACGAUAUGAGUAUUCUGAUAUUUUCCUUUUAGGAGGAAUAUAAGUGGAUCAACUAAAUAUAUGCCUAAAUAACAGUACAAAAGAUCAGUACACACAAAAAGUUCCAUAAUCUUUCUUAACAGUAAUGGUUACUUCUACUUUAUUGCAAAAAUCCAGGAUCUAUAAAUAAGGCACCCCUCAUUUUCCGACGACUUUUAUUAUGUGUCUCGUUUCGACACGUGAAGUUGACAAAAUUAUAAAAAGUUUGGAAAAUUUAAAGAAGAAAAAACCAAUCACCGAACCAUCAGUUGUAAAAGAAGAAAAAGUCAAACUGGAAGGAGUCUUGUUAAAAGAGAAGUGGAGAGAAAAUAGUAAAAAAGUGUAACUAAAUUCUCUAAUUUAAGGCACUAAUAAUGAAUUGUAUAUAAUUUGUAAGUAAUUCUUGUUUAGGGUAGGUAAUAUACAAAAUAAGAAAAAUUUAGUAAAUAAAUUUCAAAUAUUGUAUAGGAAGAAAAAAAUUCCUAAAUUAAACGUAUCAUAUAUGUAUAAUUCAUAUAUAAUAUCUGUAUAACCGUAUCUAAUUAAUACAUAAAAUUUGUGUAUACUAGCUAGAAAACGUAAAUUGAAUUCGGGUCUAAUCCAAAACGGUACCUCUAACACAUAUAUGGUUCUGGUUCUUAUUAUAGUUCAUAUCAGGUUAACAUGGACUCCAUAACUUUUGGAAAUUAUUUUAAUAUGUUUUUCAAUCAUUAAACAACCAUUAAGAGACUAAAAUAAUUAAGAUUGCGACUUGUGAGAUAAUAAUGGGACCUUGAGAGAGAGAAAUUAGAAGACUGUACUGUUUAGCUUUUGCCUAAGGAAUAAUGCAAAUGUAAAGGGGUGUUUAUCUAUUUAUACUAUAUACUAGCUUUAGUGUACGCGCGUUGCGCGUUUAUCUAAAUUAAUGAAUAUAUAAUUUUAAAAAAAUCAAUAGAAUAUUAUUAAAUAAAAUAAUUGAGUUAUAAAUAAAAAUUUAAGAAGUGUAAGUUCUUGAAAAUGAAUAAUGUUAAUAUUAUAGAUCGAUAAAGGAAGAAAUCUUGCCAUACAAAAUUCUCAAACAUAUAAUGCAAAAACCAAUAGGAUAAAACUCUAAAAUAAAAUAUUGAUAUGAAAUAUAAAUCCAAACAACACAUACAUUUACCUCGAUUUUGAUUAACCCUGUAGCUUCUUCCUUCGCUUCUCACAAGAUUGCCAUAAGUAAUUUGAAUACGGAAAAUAUAGUCCAUUAUUGAUUUAUCAAAAAAUAUUAAGCGGACAUAAGUCUAAUUGAAUUCGAAGUUCACUACAUUAAAAUCUACCAUUAGUAGAAUUAAUAAGAUAAAUUUAAUUAUUUUCUCGUCUAAUAAAUAUGUAGAAUUUUUCAAAUACACCUUUUUAUAGUUAUGACUUAUGAUUACUGAAUUGUUAUCGUCGUUCACAAAAGAACUCUAAUUCUAGUUUAUCUUUGAGCUUGCCAGUUAUCUCUAAAUCAAACUUUAAAGAAUAGAUGAUUUCUCCCUAUUCAAUUUUUUGGUCUUUGACCAAACUUAUCUUCUAUAGCAUCUUUUUUCUCUUACUAUUAAAUUUUCCCUCAAGUAUUGCUUCAUAUCAAAGUUCCAAAAGUUAUGUUCUUUUAAAUAAGAAAAUAAUUCAUAUAAGCUAAAAUGUCAUUCGAUUUUGAAUUUCUAAAUUUUAGGAACUUAUAUAAUGGUAAAUGUUUGUAGUAAAUUUUAAAGUUAUAAAUGUUAUUAAAUAAUUAAAUAGAAAAAUAUUGUUUAAUGUAUAAUAUGAUGUACGUGUUAUCUACAGGGGCGGCUUGACCCUAUAGCAAGUGAAUCACUUGCUUUAGGCCCCAAAAAUUUAAGAGCCCCAAAAUUACUAUUUCUCUAUAUAUAGUAGUAUAUUAUUUAUAUAAUUAUCUCUUAUUAUUGAUAAAUUUAAUUCUUUAUUAUCAUAUUAAUUUUUAAUAGCUCGAUUUCUUCCUCUAAUUAAUAUAACUNNNNNNNNNNNNNNNNNNNNNNNNNNNNNNNNNNNNNNNNNNNNNNNNNNNNNNNNNNNNNNNNNNNNNNNNNNNNNNNNNNGUUUAACUGAACAUGGAGUUUAUGAAUAAAAGAAGGCUUUUGAAACUUGUAAUCUUAAAUAAAUCAUAGAAAUUUGUGGGCUAGAAAUCAUCUCAUUAAUGGUAAAAAGAAAAAUAUAAAGUUGAAUUGUUACAUAAAAAUAGAAAGUGACUUACUAAAAAAAAGGAGUCAAUUAAGUUGGGAUGGAGGAAGUAUGUUUUUUGGGUUCUCCCAUUUCAAUUGUGAUGCAGUCAACGUUAAAUUCAUUUAAUUUUCUGUACUUAUAAAACGAAGUUCUCAUUUUUUUUAAUUCCACAUCCUCACUUGUCUAAUUUUUAAAAAAACGAUGUUCAUUAAAUAAUAUAUAUAUAUAUAUAUAUAUAUAUUAAGGCCUCUUAUUAAGGCUUUGCUUUAAACAUCGGAUGAUGUUGGACCGCCCCUGGUUAUCUAUCAUUAGCGAUUAAAUAAUUUAAGUCAUCUUAACACUUCGUGCUCAUGAUAAAAGUUAGAGUUAAAAAUACUCACAUAUUUUAAAAAAGAAAUCGACAAAAUAAAUUGAAAUUUGACAUGUUUGAUGAUAUUCUUACGUGGUUCGGUCUACAAAGAAUUAAAAAGAAGACAAACUUUGAAAUAACGUUUUCAUUAUAGUUACACAAUUUAAAUAAGGAAAAAAUUACAUAUGUAAAAUCUUGCUCAAUUUUAGAUUCCUAAAUAUUAUGAACUUCCACAUAAUUCAAAUAAGGAAGAAUUUAAUAAAUAAAAUUUAGUAGAUUUUAAAGUCCUAAGUAUUAGGAAAAUAAGAAAAUUACAAUUACAAGUUUGUCCAAUGUGAAACCUAUUUUUAAAGGGUAAAAAAGUUGAACGACAUUUCGCUAAGGGCAUUCGUACUUUUAAAUUUAAAUAUAGUAUAAAUAUAGAUUAAAAGCACAAAAGUCUUUAGCGAAAUAUUAUUCGCCUUUUUUUACCCUUUAAAAUAGAUUUCAUAUUGUACGAAAUUGUAAUUUAAGUUAUAUUCCAAAUUUUUAGGACAGUCUUUCUUUGUUUGAAAUAUUUAUAGUGUCCUAAUAAUUAGGGCUUUAAAAUUGAUUAUAUUUACCUUGUAUAGAGUCUUUCCAAUUGAAUUGUGUAACAUAAGCCAAAUUAGUAGUACUAAAAAUUAGAAAAUUCUUAAGAUGGUAGUGUGUAUGCGGACCUUACCCCUACCCAGAGGCGGAUGUAGUAUAUUAUGUACGGGUUCAACUGAACCCAUAACUUUCGACGCGGAGUAAAAAUUCAUUAAAAUUGCAAAAAUAGUAGAUCUGAACCCAUAACUUUAAAAAUAUAAUGGGUUCAAUGUUAAAAAUAUUAAAAUUGAACCCAUAGGAAUUAAAUCUUGGAUCCGCCUCUGCCCCAACCCUCAGGUAGAGAGGUUGUUUCUGAUAGACCCUCGGCUCCCUCCCUCCAAGAACUCCCCGCCUUGCUCUUGGAGUGACUCGAACUCAUGACCUCUUGGUUGGAAGUGGAGGGUGCUCACCACUAGAGCAACCCACUCUUGCCUAUCAAAAGACGACGUAUAAUUAUGUAAUGUAAAGACAUAUUGUUGGUGCAAUAAAAUUAUAUCUUAUUUUAUAUGUUAAUGUGUACCAAGUUCAUCUUCUUUCUAAUGGGAUUUCUGGAAUUUUAUCGUGAUCAAUCAAUGAUCGGUCUAUCUCCGGAAUCAAUCAACCAUAAUUCAACAAUUUGCUAAUCAUAAUAGAUUAAUUUUGUAUCUUCAUUUUAAAGGAAAAAAAGAUGGAAAAGGAAGACAAUAUACAAUGAAAAAUUUCUUGCAACCAUCUAGGAAGCAAACAAAAAUUUUACUGCCCAUAUACUAUAUAUUAUGUCCUCGAGCAAGAAUGGAACUGAAACUCUCACAUCCAUAUACAAUGAUUCAAGCUACAGAAACUCUCACAUCCAUUAACAUAUCAAAUAAACUAGAAAUGUUGAGCUUCAAGAAUUUCAUGUUAUAAUAUCCUUUACCUGGGUGACUAAUUAAACCAGCAAAAGGAGGUUUAGUAUUUCAUUUUGGAUAACCAAAGUGAUGCAAGUGUCGAGCAGCUACAAGACCAUCCCUGACAUUGUUAUCAGGACCACAUAACAAGCAGAGGCGAAUCCAGGAUUUAAAUUCUAUGAGUUCAGUUGAACCCGUAGCCAGUAUGCUACAUCCGCCUCACACGAAUAUAGACCUGGAGCGAUACUUUCACAAAUACUGCUCAGCUUACAAAAUUNNNNNNNNNNNNNNNNNNNNNNNNNNNNNNNNNNNNNNNNNNNNNNNNNNNNNNNNNNNNNNNNNNNNNNNNNNNNNNNNNNNNNNNNNNNNNNNNNNNNNNNNNNNNNNNNNNNNNNNNNNNNNNNNNNNNNNNNNNNNNNNNNNNNNNNNNNNNNNNNNNNNNNNNNNNNNNNNNNNNNNNNNNNNNNNNNNNNNNNNNNNNNNNNNNNNNNNNNNNNNNNNNNNNNNNNNNNNNNNNNNNNNNNNNNNNNNNNNNNNNNNNNNNNNNNNNNNNNNNNNNNNNNNNNNNNNNNNNNNNNNNNNNNNNNNNNNNNNNNNNNNNNNNNNNNNNNNNNNNNNNNNNNNNNNNNNNNNNNNNNNNNNNNNNNNNNNNNNNNNNNNNNNNNNNNNNNNNNNNNNNNNNNNNNNNNNNNNNNNNNNNNNNNNNNNNNNNNNNNNNNNNNNNNNNNNNNNNNNNNNNNNNNNNNNNNNNNNNNNNNNNNNNNNNNNNNNNNNNNNNNNNNNNNNNNNNNNNNNNNNNNNNNNNNNNNNNNNNNNNNNNNNNNNNNNNNNNNNNNNNNNNNNNNNNNNNNNNNNNNNNNNNNNNNNNNNNNNNNNNNNNNNNNNNNNNNNNNNNNNNNNNNNNNNNNNNNNNNNNNNNNNNNNNNNNNNNNNNNNNNNNNNNNNNNNNNNNNNNNNNNNNNNNNNNNNNNNNNNNNNNNNNNNNNNNNNNNNNNNNNNNNNNNNNNNNNNNNNNNNNNNNNNNNNNNNNNNNNNNNNNNNNNNNNNNNNNNNNNNNNNNNNNNNNNNNNNNNNNNNNNNNNNNNNNNNNNNNNNNNNNNNNNNNNNNNNNNNNNNNNNNNNNNNNNNNNNNNNNNNNNNNNNNNNNNNNNNNNNNNNNNNNNNNNNNNNNNNNNNNNNNNNNNNNNNNNNNNNNNNNNNNNNNNNNNNNNNNNNNNNNNNNNNNNNNNNNNNNNNNNNNNNNNNNNNNNNNNNNNNNNNNNNNNNNNNNNNNNNNNNNNNNNNNNNNNNNNNNNNNNNNNNNNNNNNNNNNNNNNNNNNNNNNNNNNNNNNNNNNNNNNNNNNNNNNNNNNNNNNNNNNNNNNNNNNNNNNNNNNNNNNNNNNNNNNNNNNNNNNNNNNNNNNNNNNNNNNNNNNNNNNNNNNNNNNNNNNNNNNNNNNNNNNNNNNNNNNNNNNNNNNNNNNNNNNNNNNNNNNNNNNNNNNNNNNNNNNNNNNNNNNNNNNNNNNNNNNNNNNNNNNNNNNNNNNNNNNNNNNNNNNNNNNNNNNNNNNNNNNNNNNNNNNNNNAUAUAUAUAUAUAUAUAUAUAUAUAUAUAUAUAUAUAUAUACUGUUUCAAAAUAGUUACAUCAUAAUUAUGAGAGACUAAGCCCUCCUGAAUUCCAUCGUCAUUGUCUAGCACCAUACCAGUAUUACAAAUAUUGAUUUUUCUGGUAAAUACAGUUCCUAGGAUAUCUGCUUGAUAAGUGUGGAUUUUAACCACUUAUUAGUACCUGCUUUAGUUUUAGUCUAAAAGUGAUGAUUUUUAUUUCCGAAUCUAAUGAAGUAUGAAUUGCAGGCAUGCUUGAGGAUUUAAGCUCAAUGGAGAAAUCUAACUCAAAAAGGAGUGUUCCAGCUCAACAAGGCAAAGAAGAGUAAAUGCAAAAGGAAGUGCGGUCCGCAAAACUUAUUUUGCGGCCGUAGAUGAAGAUGCAUGCCGCAAAAAUGCAAGUAUGGCCGCAGACUUAACCUUGAAGCCUCAAAGGAAUUCAGUAGAAGUGCGGUCCACACACCAGAUUGUGCGGCCGCAAAUGUAGUUCACACUGACAAGCUUGGAAAGUUUAGAAAAGUUGCAAAAAGAUCAAAUAUGAAACCUCUUUAAAAUGCAGUCUACAACCACAAUGUGCAGCCGCAGAAGUUGAAGUGCGGCCACAUACAUAAUUGUGCAGUCUCAGAUUCCCUCCCAAUGAAAGAGCAAAAGAAGAAAGUGCGUGCCACACACCAAAUUGUGUGGUGCGGCCGCAGAACUUCCUGAAGAGCAUUUUUGGGAGCAAAUUUUUGGAUACUAUAAAUAGACGAGAAAUACUUUUUCUAGGGCAACUUUUGUAUCCUUAGCAACUGUAGCGGUUAGAGUUUACUACUUUGGGAAAGUUGUGAUCAAAAUUAGAGAAGACCCACUACUUUUAUCUUUUAAUUUAGUUUUAUGUCUUUAAUUACUUCUACUCUUUUAUUUUCUAUUUCUCCAAGCUCAUGUAGCUAGAUUUUAUCUAAGGUUGUGACCCAACACUACUAUGUAAAGCUUAUGGGUUAUUAAUAUUAAUGCUUGUUAAUGAUUGAGUGUUUGUUAUUUAGCCUUGUUUAUACUUUUUAUCUAGAAUUAAUGGUUGAAAAUAUUGAUUCAUGCCUAUUUGAUUUAGUUCUUACUAGAGAAAGAGGAACCUAGUCUAGAAAAACUUGGCUAACAAGAAAUUGGCUAGUUAAGGUGUUGACUAGUUUGAUUAAAGGAUUUGAACUAUAGAUGGGGAUAAUCCCACUUGGACUCAUAUCAAUUGCUUAGAUUGCUACUCAUUUGGUCUUGAGAAAGUCAAUUUGGGCAUAACCACUCUUUGACCUAGAGGUAUUGAGUGGGUACUUGAUAAUUGAGAGUCAUAACACACCCCGAUCUACCAAGCAAACAUUACUUUAAUAUACCCAUUAGAUUUACAUCUAGGUGAAUGUUACAUCCCUAAGCUUUUUUCUUAAUUGAUUAAAACACCAAAAAUAUUUUAUUCUCUAGUUGGUACUAUUUAGUUUAAUUUCUUAGUUGUUAACUUAGAUAACAAUUAUCCACUAUUGUUUGAAAGUAUAAUUUAGCUAUUUCACGUUCUCUUCUUAAGUAUUUACCUUAGCAUCGAUCUAAACUCCCUGUGAAAUUCGACCCUGACUCGCGUUGAGUUUUCUAAUUGCAACGACUGUUUCAUACUUGUUAUUUGAGUGUGAAUUACAUGUGAUCAAUUUUUGGCGCCGUUACCGUAGAGUUUUACGAUGUUAGCUAUAUACUUGAGUUUGCUUCUUAAAAUAUCUUCUUUUACUUUCGUGAUUCUAAUUUUAUUGAAAUGAUAGUAGGUUCCAAAUGGCGAACAAUGAACUCAAAAAUUUGCCAUUGGGAGAGGUAGAUGGUGAAGAGGAGCAAUUUGAUGAAAUUCUUCAAGCUCCAUACCAAAAUCGCCGAGGCCGUGGUCAACAAGACAAUAUGUCUCCACCUUCCCCACCUCCUCUACCACCACAACCACAAGCGGUGUAACAUCGGAUUUUGCCUAAUGAAUGUUAUGCAAGUGCCAUAGCUCCCCCUUGCAUUUGGGCGGAAAACUUUCAAAUUACCAAUGUGAUGCUUACUUUUGCUUGAGCAACGAGGUUAUUUAACCAGGUCACCGAAUCAAAAUACUUACAAGCAUUUGAAGGGUUUUGUAGAUACGUGUUGGAGGAGCAAACAAACAAAUAUUUCGAAAAAUGCUUUGAGGUUAAGGCUUUUUCCCUUCUCACUAAGGGGUAAGGCUUUGGAUUGGUUGGAACGCUUGCCUAAUCAUUCUAUUCAUACUUGAGACGAAUUGGCGGCGAAGUUUAUUUUAAAGUUUUUCUCUCUCGGGCAUAUGGCUACUCAAGAGCCCAAUUAACCUUUGCAUGAAAUUUGGGAGCGAUAUCGGACAAUGGUGAAGAAGUGCCCGAAUAAUAAUAUGACCGAUAACAUGAUCCAACAAACUUUCUAUCAUGGUAUUAAUACUACAAACCAAUGCGUGGUCAAUCAAUUGGUAGGGGCAAUUUUAUGACAAUAUAUUAUGCGGAGGCAUGUGAGAUUCUUGAUAAGAUGGCAGAAACUUUUUCGGCUUGGUAAUCCCGAGUUAAUCUUCCCUAAGGUGAUCCCAACAUGAUUCAUCUUCAUAAAGAGUUACAAGACCAUGGGCAAGUUAUUUUCGAAUUGACCAAAAUCAUGACUCAACUUGCUAAGGCCCAAUUUCAUCAAGUACAAGCUCCUAAGAAAAUUCAUGCUAUGGAAGGGGUGAAUGUCUUGGUCAACAAGAAGACUACCAAGGGUCCCCAAUUUCAAUCCCGAGCGGAGAAUUAUGCACAAGAUGAUGUUAGCUUUGACCAAGAUGUGUCUUAUCAAGAUCAAGAAGAAGAAGUAUAAUUUGUGAACAAUUACCAAGGGCAACAGAGCAAUUUCUAAAGCUCCAAUCAAAAUUAAUGGUGUUCUCAAAAUAAGCAAGGCAAUUGGGGUUUUAACAAUCAAUAGAAUUGGCACAAUAACAACAACCAAGGAAAUUGGGGAGGCAACAAUCAAGGAAAUUGGGUAAACAAUAACAAUCAUGGAAAUCAGGAUCGGGUUUUCAAAUGCCCCUAAUGUACUAACAAACUAGCAACCCACAUCCUUAUCACUCCCACAGUUCAAGUUCUUUAAACAAUAAAAUGAGCCAUAUUGAGAACAUGUUCAAGCAAAUGAUGGAAAAGAAUGCGGAUUCGGAUGCCCAACUUGCCUCACAUACCACAUCAAUCCGUAAUCUUGAAGUUCAAAUGGGAAAAAUCUCUCAAGCUCUUAAUUCUCGUCCAAGGGUGCACUACAAAGUGACAUGGUAGACAACCCAAAGGGUGAUAACAACAUGGGGCAUACCAUGUCGGAUAUCACAAGAAGUGGAAGAGGUGGGAAUGCACCCUCCUAAAAUGAAAAGCAACUUGUGAAUGAUGACCAAAUGAUCCAAGAGGAGGAAAUCCCAAGCAAUAAUGUUCAAGUACAUGCUGAAGUUCGGAUUGUUAUUGAUGAAAAUAUGGAGGUGAACCUGUCUUAGGGAAUACAUUAUUGACAUACCGGAAUCGGUAGUGCAAAAGGCUAAGGAACCCUUGACAAAGCCUCCACCUCCUUACCCUCAAAGACUUUUAAGCAAAAUUGUGAGAAUCAAUUCGAAAAGUUUAUUUAGAUGAUAAAAGGUCUUUUUAUUAAUGUGCCAUUGGUAGAAGCUUUGAAACAAUUGUUCGGUUAUGCCAAGUUUAUGAAAGAUCUUGUGACCAAUAAGAGGUCGAUGAAUUUUUAAACUAUCAAGGUCACUCAUCAAGUGAGUGCAAUUAUUUAUUCCAUGGCUCUUAAGUUGGAGGAUCCUGGUGCUUUCACGAUUCCUUGAACUAUUGGAAGUGCCGAUUUUCCCAAAGCUCUUUGUGAUCUUGGGGGGAGUAUCAAUUUGAUGCCCUACUCAGUGUUUAAAAAUUUGGGGAUUGGGAAACUAAGACCAACAUCUAUGAGGUUGCAAAUGACCGAUCGUUCCAUGAAGAGGCCAUUCGGAGUGAAUGAGGAUGUGUUGGUCCGGGUUGAUAAGUUUAUUCUUUUGGCGGAUUUUGUUAUUCUAGAUUGUGAGAUUGAUUAUGAAGUGCCUAUCAUUCGUUGUAGGCCUUUCCUUGCUACAUGUAAGGCCCUUUGUGAUGUAUAAGCAGGAGAACUCACUUUUCGGAUUGAUGAUGAACAAGUGGAAUUCCAUACGUGCAAGUCUAUGCGACAACCAAAUAGCAAUGAAGUGUGUUCUUUUGUAGACUUGGUUACCAGCGUUAUUAUUGAUGACACAAGUGCUACAAUCAAUGUUGGUUAUAUGUUGGAAGCCGUUUUGCACAACUUGGACGAUAAUGAGAUGGAUGGUUUCAUGGAAUGUUUGAACUCUUUGCGAGGAAUGGUGUCUUACAACUAUGCAUCCCAAAAGUUAUCUUUGGAUCUUGAGAAUAAGAAUACUCCUUCUACAAAACCUUCUAUUGAAGAGACACCUACUUUGGAGUUGAAACCAUGCCACUACACCUUCGGUAUGAAUUUCUUGGCCCUUGUUCUACUUUACCGGUAAUUCUUUCCUCUUGUUUGACUAACGUGCAGGUUGAUUCCACAUUAGCACUACUGCAAAAGAGGAAGAAAGCUAUUGGGUAGACUUUGGCGGACAUCCGGUGUAUAAGCCCCGCAUUUUAUAUGCAUAAGAUCAAGUUGGAGGAUGGUGCCAGACCGUCCAUUGAACAUCAAAGAAGACUUAAUGAAGCUAUGCAAGAGAUAAUCCAAACGGAGAUUAUCAAGUGGUUGGAUGAUGGGGUUGUCUACCCCAUUUCCGAUAGUUCAUGGACCUCUCCGGUUCAAUGUGUCCCAAAGAAGGGGGCAUGACGGAUGUUACCAAUAAAAAGAAUGAAUUGAUUCCUACGAGAACGGUCACCAGUUGGAGAGUUUGUAUGGAUUUACGUAAGCUCAACAAAGUCACAAAGAAGGAUCACUUUCCUUUAUGGAUCAAAUGCUCGAUUGAUUGGCCGGGCAUGCUUUCUAUUAUUCUCUUGAUGGGUACUCACGCUACGAUUAAUUUUCAAUGGUGCGCGAUGGCUAUUUUCACAGACAUGGUGGAAGACUACCUUGAGGUCUUCAUGGAUAACUUUUUGGUAGUUGGAGAUUCUUUUGAUGAUUGUCUUGCAAAUUUGGACAAAGUGUUGGCUAGAUGUGAGGAAACUAAUUUGGUACUCAAUUGGGAGAAAUGUCAUUUCAUGGUUGAGGAAAGCAUUGUCCUUGGCCAUAAGAUUUCAAAGAAUGGUAUUGAAGUGGACAAGGAAAAAAUUGAAGUUAUUUCUAAGCUUCACCCCUACCUCGGUAAAGGGUAUGCGGAGUUUCUUAGGCCAUACGGGUUUCUACCGGCGAUUUAUUAAGGAUUUCUCUAAAGUGGUGAACCAUUUGUGCAAGAUCCUUGAGAAGGAUGCCAAGUUCCAUUUGAAUGAUGAUUGUAUGAGAGCUUUUGAACAAUUGAAGCUCAAGUUGACAACUACUCCUAUCAUUAUCUCUCCAAAUUGGAGUUUGUCGUUCGAGCUCAUGUGUGAUGUAAGUGAUGUAGCGGUUGGGGUUGUUUUAGGGUAACGUAUCAACAAAAAAAUUCAUUCGGUUUACCAUGCUAGUAAUACCAUGAAUAAUGCCCAAGUCAGUUAUACCGUUACGGAGAAAGAGCACCUUGAUAUUGUGUUUGCUAUUGAGAAGUUCCGACCAUACUUGAUGGGUGCCAAAGUUAUUGUCCAUACGGAUCAUGCGGCGCUUCGCUAUCUUAUGAGCAAAAGGGAAUCUAAAUCUUGGUUAAUGAGAUGGGUGUUUUUGUUGCAAGAGUUUGACAUUGACAUCCAAGAUGAGAAGGGAAGUGAAAAUCAAGUGGCAGACCACUUGUCUCAUUUGGAGGAGGAAGGGAGGCCGAAUGAUGGCCUUGUAAUCAAUGACUUUUUCCCCGUGGUUCACGAAUUUGGAAAAUUUUAUUGUAAAUAGUAUCAUUCCUGAUGAGUUCUCUUCAAACCAAAGAAAGAAGCUCAAGAGGGAUUGUAAAGACUACUAUUGGGAUGAACCAUACCUUUCCCAAAUUUGCACGGAGUGGGUGAUUCGGAGGUGUGUGCCGGAGGAAGAGCAAGGUGAGAUUCUUGGAGCUUGUCAUUCUUCGCUAUAUGGUAGUCAUCAUGGUGGAGUAAGAAUGGCGGCUAAAGUCCUAAGUUGUGGUUUCUAGUGGCCUACUCUCUACAAUGAUGCAAAUAAAUUGGUAAAAAGAUGCGAUGAAUGCCAACGGUCCGGUGGAAUUUCAAAGAAACAUGAGAUGUCUCUUACAACCAUCUUGGAGAUUGAUAUUUUUAAUGUUUGGGGUAUUGAUUUUAUGGGCCCUUUUGUGAGUUCUUGUGAAAACACCUACAUUUUGGUCGCGGUGGAUUAUGUGUCUAAAUGGAUUGAGGUCGUUGCCUUACCCAACAAUGAGGCUAGAAGUAUAGUGUCCUUCUUGAAUAAGAAUAUGUUUACAAGAUUUGUACUCCACGUGCAAUCAUAGGCGAUGAGAGGUCACAUUUUUGCAUUAAGACUUUCGACACUUUACUUAGCACGUAUAGUGUUACUCACAAGGUCACAACUCCUUAUUACCCAUAAGCUAGUGGUCAAGUGAAAGUCUCCAACUGAGUGAUGAUGCUCUAUGGGUAUAUAGGACGACUUACAAAAUACCUAUUAGAAUAUUCCUAAACCGUUUGGUGUUCGGGAAAGCUUGUCAUCUUCAGUUGGAACUAGAGCACAAGGCAAUGUGGGCCUGGAAGAAAUUGAGUUUUGAUUGGGAUAUAGCCGCUAAUUUACGGGUUGCACACUUGAAUGAAUUGGAUGAGUUCUGGAACCAUGCAUAUGAGAGUUCAUCCUUAUACAAAGAAAAGAUGAAAUAUCUUCAUGAUAAGUAUAUUUGGAAUAAGGAGUUCAAAGCUAGUGAUCUAGUAUUAUUGUUCAACUCAAGGUUGAGGAUGUUUCCCAGGAAGCUUAAGUCAAAGUAGGUCGUCCGUUUGAAAUUGUGGGUAUGACACCUUUCGGUGUAUUGGACUUGAAGAACAAGAACAAUGAAAUAUUUUGAGUCAAUGGUCACCGGGUGAAGCACUAUUUGGGAAAAGUUGGAGAGAGCCAUGUGGUGGAGGUUAUUUACUUCACUUGAGGAUGCUAUGACAUUGCGUCGUACCGCGACGUUAAAUAAGGCGCUUCUUGGGAGGCAACCUAAGUUCUAUUCCUUUUUCUCUUUUAGUUAGAUGUUAUUUGUUGUUUUUAACUUGAUUUGAAGUGUGCUGCAUGGUUAAGUGUUAGAUAUGAAAUGAAUGAUAAGGUUGUGUCAACAAGGCCAUAAAUGAGGAUCACACUUUUUCUUUAUGCGGCCGCAGAAAAGAAAUGCUGCCGCAGAAGCUCUUGUGCGAUCUCAGAUUUCAUCUGCGGACAGCACUUGCAAUAGUUGAUCUUAAGCUCCAAAUGAAAGGUCCUCUGAAAUUUUCUCCUGUCAGUGCGGAGGAAUAGUGCAGACUUUCGUAAAAUUUACGGCCGCAGAUGCACAACAUUAGAGAGGUGGUGGUAUUACACUAUCAGGAGUGCGACCACACUUGAAAAUGUGCGGCCUGCACAAUUUUGCUUUCCACUGAAAGGUCAGGUAAUAGAGUGUGGCCUGCACUUGAAAUUGUGCGGCCACACUCGCCUCUCUAACCCUCAAUAUUCUUUGAGUAUAUAUAUAACAUUAGCCUCUAUUUUACAUUUUUCACACUCUUCAAUUUUACUGUUACUCCGAGAGAAUUGCCUGAAGAUCUUGCACUUUUAAUCACACACAACCAUUUGCACUCACUUGGAUCUUAGCACACUUGCAAUAUCUAAUAUGCUUCACUUCAUGUUAAUUUUACCUUUUCCUUUUUAACUUCUUUUUAGGCCAUCUGUUAUUGAAUUCCUUCAAUGUAUACAUGUGAGGUAGUUUUGUAAUGGGAAAUUGAUAAAACAUGUUUAGAAUGGGUUGGAUUAACUGAUUUUUAUGUCUAUACCAUGUUACCAAGUAGAAUUGAACGAAACUUUUGCAUAAUCUAGGUAAAUAGACAUUUUCCGUUUUUGUUCUAGAUUGUGCGGACCUUUUAAAUUGUGCAGUCCGCAAACUGCUGAUUAGGGUAAGAAGUUGGAUUGCUAAUUGUGCAGACGCACUUAAAUUGUGUGGACCGCAGUUUUUGUUGUGAGGCCACAUAUUUGGUCUGUACUAAUAAUCAGAGUCUUGCUAUUUGAGCAUCUCAAGUGCGGACCGCAAAAUUAAUUGUGUGGACCGCAGUUGAAUUCAGCGGCCGCAGAUGGACGUCGCACUAACAAUCAGAGAAGAAGCAACUAAAUUCUCAACACAUCUGUGCUGAAGUGCGGCCCGUAUGUGGAAUUAUGUGGUCCAUACUUCUAUUUUGCAGACCGCACUUCACUCUUUUCUACUGCAUGCUGAAAUCCUUAAACCUCAUUGCUUCUAUGAUGUCCUCACAUACUUAUAUGAUUCUUAACUGUUUGAAACAUGAAUUUCAACUGACAAAUCUAUUUAUGCAUAUCAUAUACAGACAAUGGUACAAUCAUGAGGUCAAUGUGAAUCUACCAAAGGAAGAGGUGAAUCUUCAAGGGGAAGGGGCAGGGGCAGAGGUGCCAUGCAUCCAAGUGUGCAGCGAGAAAUAACUAAGAAGAUAACUGCAAGUCGGGGGAGAGGUAGAAUUGUCUCACAGUCUAGUUCGUACACCCCGUCUAGGGAGGCUUCCGAGGGGAAUUUUGUAUCUUUACCGUAGGAUCACACUGAAGAACAAUCUAGUCCACAGAGGCAGUCUGAGCCUCUAGAUGUGCCUUCUAAAUAUCACAGCACCUCCUAGGGUUCAUAGAGUGUCAGUCAUGAGUCCAAAGCAGCUGCUCCGGGCUCUGAUUCUGAUGAUGCCCCGGAUGAUAAGAAAGGGGAAUCAGGUGAACAGGCAAGCAUGGCAAGAUCAAAGAAGAAGGUUGUCUGCGAAGGUAGAUUUUUGAGUCUGUGAGCAUUUUCUAAUUUUCAAAUGUAGUGAAAGGAGAGGUCAUUGACGCAUGAGCGGUAAUUCCUCCUUAAAGACUUGGACAAAUACAACACAGCAGUUCUAUAGCAGUUUACCAAAAAAAAGGGUUGUAUUCAGUUUACUAAGAAUCUGGUAGAUGUGAAAGAGCAUCUUAUUCGGGAAUUCUAUGCCAACACACACAUACUCUCAAAGGGAUAAAGAUCACCAAGGUGCGCAACUUGAAAGUGAAGUUUGAUCAUCAUACUCUAGAUGUGUACUUGGGAUUUGAUGAUGUGGAGCCGAAGGAGUAUCUGGAGAAGCUGGCUUUGAAAGAAGAGGCUAGGUCGUGGCUUGCGCAGAUUCUUGCACCUGGACCUACUCCCCCUUGGAUAGGUGUCGGGGUGCCAAUCCUCUAAAAAACUCUGAGCUUUAAGGCAAAAGGGAGGAAGACCUUCGUGUGCAGCAGACUUAAUCCGUGUUUGAAUGAGAAUAAUGUGCCCCUUUCACGAGCUAUGUUGGUGGAUUCUAUUAUGGCCGGGUACCCAAUCAAUAUGGGUGCCCUAAUGUCGGCCAACAUCUCUCUUGUGGCACAGUAGGGUAACACCUCUUACCCUUACCCUAGACUAUUAUUGAGUAUCUGACAGAUGCCAAGGUGGAGUCCAGGUUAUUUGACACCAUGGUCAAGCCGACAGGGCCAUUUGAGUGGUACAAGCUACAAGAUCCUAGGAACCCAAAGAAGAGCAUUCAACCUUCUACUACUUGCUGGCCAGUAUGAUGAUCCAAUAAUAAUAGCCCCUGGUCCGUCUGAUAUUCCAUCUCCUACUACAACUCCUACUACAGUGCCUACCCCAGCUUUGAGGCCGGUGCCCAUGCCUACAGGCCCAUUAUCUGCCUUGCUGGUCUCUCAAGCACUUUCAAGCCUCAACAACUGGAUGCAGGCAACUACUUCGAAGUUGUCUAAGAUCUCCAGUACAAUUGCAGGGAAGUCAUCUUCACACACACCCCUGGAUUCCUCUAAGAUAGAUAAGAAGCUCAGCAAAGUCAUGGACAACUAAAAGGUUAUCAUGGAUACACUAGUACAACAUGGUGCUGUGAUUUGAGCGGUUGACCAAGCAGGUGAAGAAAAUGAGGAAGUCAAAGGCCAUCAAGAAGUCGGUUGAUGAACUUCGAGCUGAGGUCGCCCGGAUAGCUGAGGCCGGGGAUUUUUCUUUUGAUAUGUUAUUAGACCCUACCCAAUCUCACCCAUCCUCAUUUUCUCAUGAUGCUCCCGCUGCUCAGACUAAUGAGCCGUGCCUUGACUCUGAUACUGCUGAGGCAGUGCAUGAUAUGUUCACCUCUCAGGCUGCUCCCAUACUUGAUGAUAUUCAAUUAGCUGAGCCGGCUAGGAGUGAUGCUGCUGGUGAUACUAUGAUGACGGAGGACACUUAGGGAGUUUUUUUGCCCUCUCUACUCCUUGAUCUUAUUUUGUUAAGUAUUGGGGACAAUGCUUCUCUUUGUUCCGGGAGGGGGGAGGGGGGGGGGGGAGGGAGGGAUGGAGCAUAUUUGAUGAUUUGAUACUAUUGACAAUAUUGAAAUAUAAUAAUUGGAUGAUUCUACUUUUUGUUUAUCUUUAGUAGCUGUAACUUUUAUUAGCUUCUUUAAUUGUUUAUCUUUAAUUGUGUUUGUUUUGGUAGCUUUUAUGUUUUUCUUAUUACUGUUGAUAAUAAACCUUUGAUUUUCUUCAUGUCACGGUUCUUUCCAAAGGUGGUCUUUUGUGUGAACCGGGCGACUCUUCCCGAUGAUGGAUAGUGUGGCAACUUUCUUAAGGGAUUGAGUCAGUUUCAUGUUUAGGUAAUGCUUCAUUCUCUAAGUCAUUCUCUAAAAAUAGUUAUUCAUGCUUCAUUUGGAACCAACUUACUUAACUGCAUGCUUAUGCUUAUGGUUUGAAAUAAGGUUUUGAAAUAAAAUAGCUCUAGUUUAGUGACUUUGAAGUUCUUGAGUUGACUUUGAUAAUUAUUAUGUGGUUGAAUGGACCAUAGUGAUAUUUAACUUGACUGUGAUCGUUGUGGGAUUUAGACUCUAUCUUCUUUUACUGUCUAGUUGCACGAGAGGUGAGGUGAAUUCUUGUUGCUAGUCCAAGUACUUGAGCGAAUAGUCUAGAACUUGCCCCGAAUGUGUUUCAAGGAGAAAUUCUAAGUUUGCUUGGUUUGAAAAAUAAUUGUAGGCUUUCAUUAGACCGUUUGAGCUUUCUAUUGCCACCCUAUAAUUGUUAUCCUUAGUCAAUCCCUUUGAGCCUUUUAGCAUUUCUCUAUUGGUAACCAUGCUACAAGCUUUUACCAGUUUUGAUCAUAAUCAUUUAUUGGCAUCCAAACCUUUCUUAACAUGUAAUAAAUGGCCCAAAGCCUAAGUUUGGGGGAAAAGUUGAGGAAUCUAAAAUAGGUAUCAAGGUAUUGAAAAUAUAGAAAAGAAAUGAUCUACAUGAAAAGAGAAAGCAAGAAAAGAAAGAACAGAUUGAUGAAAUUGGAGAAUAGGCAAUUAUCUCUAGUAUGAGCAUCAAGGGAUAAAAAGAAUGAAAUUAACAAUAAAGAGUAAUGGCAAGUCUCUCUAGCCCCCAAGAAAAAGAAUGCCUCUAAGGGUUUGGCAAAAGUGAGUUAAGAAAUGAAAAGUGGUGUGCUUAAGGAAAGACGUAGCCACUUAUCCCAUAUGGUAUCCUACCCCCAAUCCAAAAGCCUUAAUUACAACUCGAAAGAAAUCCUACUUAAUUUUGAACCGAGUGAGCUUAUAUUAGUGGAGAUCUACAUGAGGGGGCAAACCUUUGGUACUUGAAGCCUUACUUGACAUUCCUUUACUGCUCUAGAAUUUGAGUUUUAAAUCUUGGAGUGAGUAUAGAAAAUGGAAGGUAGAGGAGGAAGAGUUUGGAGUCCACUAUGAUAUACAUGAAAGAACAAGAGUCCUUGAUGAAUGAAGCUAAUUCUUGAAGCUCAAAUGUCACACUAGAGUUAUAUGCAAGCCACAUAUGUUUUGUCACCUUGUUGAAAAUGCAUGAGUAUUGUGGGUAAUUGUUGGUCCUACAUGAGUAUGAAUAACUUACAAUUGACUCUUUGAAAUGACCUUUCACUUAUGGGAGGUGAGAACUAAUCUAUUUGCUUGAGGAAAAGCAAAGACUUAAGUUUGGGGGAGUUGAUAAGUGUGGAUUUUAACCACUUAUUAGUACCUUUUUGCUUUAGUUUUUGGUCCAAAAGUAGUGAUAUUUGUUUCUGAAUCUAAUGAAGUUGUGUGAAUUGCAAACAUGUUGGAGGAUUCGAUCUCAAUGGAGAAAUAUAACUAAAAAAGGAGUGUUCCGGCUCAACAAGGCAAAGAGCAAUAAAUGCAAAAGGGAGUGUGGUCCGCAGAACUUAUUCUACGACCGCAGAUGAAGAUGUAGGCCGCAGAAAUACAAGUGCGGCCGCAGACUUAACUUUGAGGCCUCAGAGGAAUUCAGCAGAGGUGCGGUCCGCACACUAGAUUGUGCAACCGCAAAAGUAGUUCAAACUGGCAAGCUUGGGAAGUUCAAAAAAGAUGCAAAAAAAUCAAGUAUGAAGCCUCUUUAAAAUGUGGCAUGCAGCCAAAAUGUGUAGCUGCAGAAGCUGAAGUGCGGCCACAGAUUCCCUCCUAUUACAAGAGCAAAAGAAGAUAGUUCGGGCCGCACACCAAAUUGUGCGGCCGCAUAACUCCCGAAGGAUAUUUUUGCCAGCAAAUUUCUAGACACUAUAAAUAGACGAGAAAUACUUUUUUUAGGGCAACUUUUGUGUCCUUUAUAAUGAUCCGACUUGUCGUUUUAAAAAUUUAUGCCUCGUUCAGUGACUAAAGGUCUCGAGCAGCUUCGUAAAAUAUAUUAUGACUCGCGGGUGUGGUCGAGUUUGGUUUUCAGAAGAUUCAGAAUUAAAUUAAAAGAACAAUUCUCAUAUUUGAAGCGUAAAUGGAAAGAGUGGACCGGAGAGGUGACUUUUGAGCAAACGAUCUCGGAAUGGAAUUUUGAUGGUGUCAAUAGUUUCGUAUGAUGAUUUCAAACUUAGGAGGAUAUUCGGAUUUGAAUUUGGAAGUCCGUAGGACAAUUCGACUAGCUCCAUUACAUCAUUUAAGACUCGUGUGCAAAAUUUGAAGUCAUUCCGCAUUGAUUUAAUAUGUUUCAGCGCAAAUUAUAGAAUUUAGAAAUUUCAUAACUUAUAAUUCGAUUCGAGGUGCGAUUCGCAGUUUCGGCACUGUUUGAUGUGAUUUGAGGCCUCGACUAAGUUCGUAUCAUAUUUUGGGAUUUGUUGGUAUGAUUGACGGGGUCCCAAGGGGCUUGGGUGUAUUUUUGGAUCAUUGGUUGAGAGACUGGUAAAGUUAAGAAAUUUGAGAGUUUGACCAUGGCCAAUAUCGGGUCUAGACGUCCUCUUUUCAGUGUUUUGAGUGUGCAAGUAGGCCCGUAGCGUAUUUUAUGAUUGAAACUCAUAUAUGGUUUGUGUCUGGGAGGUUCCGGAUAAGUUUCGAGGUGGUUUCAGAUCAUUUCGGAGAAGUUUGAGUUUGCUGGUUUCUGGUGAGGUAUUAUUCAUUCGCAAUUGCGAACAAUUUAUCGCAAUUGCGAAUACUGUUCAUUGAAGGUUAUUGUUCAUUCGCAAUUGCGAUGAUUUUGGAUUUUAGUGGAGUUCGCAAUUGCGAACAUUGUUCAUUGAAGGUUACUGUUCAUUCGCAAUUGUGAUGAUUUUGGAUUUUAGUGGAGUUCGCAAUUGCAAAUAUUUUAUCGCAAUUGCGAACACUGUUCAUUGAAGGUUACUGUUCAUUCGCAAUUCCGAACAAUUUAUCGCAAGUGCGAUGAUUUUGGAUUUUAGUGGAGUUCGCAAUUGCGAACACUGUUCUUGGGAGGUUACUGUUCAUUCGCAAAUGUGAAAUUUUUGUCCGCAAAUGCGAACCUGGGUAGAAACUUAAGGAUUGAAAAUCUGUCAUUUCUUCAUUUUCGAUUAGGAUUUUUGGAGCUCGGUUUUGGGCGAUUUUGAGGUUUUCUUCACGACUUCGACUGUGGUAAGUGUUCUAUAUCCUAAAGUGAUUAUAUUUCAUGAAUCUAUGGUUAUAUUCAUCGUUUAAUUCGUAUUUAAAUGGAAGAAAUUAAGAUUUUUGUAAAAUCUUCCAAAAACAAAAAUUCAAGAUUUGGAGGACGAUUUGUUAUUGGAAUUUGAUAAAAUUGGUACGGUUGAACUCGUAUCGAAAUGGGUAUUCGGAUUUCGUAAAAAUUAUGUCGGGUUCUGAGAGGCGGGCCCCGUGUUGACUUUGGUUGACUUUUUAGAAUAAAAUUUUAAGUCGAAGUUUUAUUAUCCGAAAUUAUUUCCGAUAAAGUUUAAUGAAGUUAUACAAUUAAUUUGGAUAGAUUUGAGCUGUCCGAAGGUCUAGUCAAGCAAGAAGGCGAUUUUGUAAUAUCGGCAUAACUUCAAAAAGGUAAGUAUCUUGCCUAACCUUGAGUGGGAAAUUACCCCUUAGGCAUCGAGUCUUAUGUGCCAUUUGUAAAAUGUGAAAAGCUGUAUACGCGAGGUGACGAGUACGUACUCGAGCUUAUAUGUACAAAAUUUAUUGGGUUAAAGUCUAGGCAUAUUGUGUAGUAAAUUAAAUAAUUAUUGGCAUUUAUUAAAUCAUCUAUUUACCAUGCCUCAAUUCGCGUUUGUUGAAUUUGUUUUUAUAUGACAAUUUGAUGUGAUUUUUAAUUGUAUAUUUAUGAGAAUUCCGUGAGUUUGGUGAUUUGAUAUUUCCUGGAAAUAAUUAUAUUAUGGAUUUUUCAUCUGCAAAUAAUUAAUAAAAUAAAUUUAAACUAAGACAUUAAAAUAAUUAUCAAGAAUUUAGAUUAAUGAAGGCGUUGCCCUAUACUGAGUAUUUUCCAUCUCUAUUAUUGUUUUGAAGUUUUAUACACAUUGUGUGGAGCCUUGGGCUAUUUGUUGUGAAAUUAAUAUAUUUUAUUAUAUUUUUGGAAUUGGUUUUGGCCAUUGGGUAAAUUAUGAUAUGAAUUGAUUUUGUUAUGUUGCCGUGAUAAUAUUUCGUGUAAAUUGUUGUGUUAUUUGNNNNNNNNNNNNNNNNNNNNNNNNNAUUUUCUUUGUGUUUAUUUCUAUAUCUUGUGCAAUUUAUCUUGUUGUUUCGAUAAACUUGAUAAUAGUCUGAUCUAUGUUGAAAAUGGGAGCAUGUGGCUAUUGCCAGGCAGAUUAUGAAAUGGAAUGUGGGCACGAGGUGUUGUAAGUAAAUAAUGAUGAUAUUGGCACGUGAAUUGUCCGUGCAAUUGUGAUAUGAAAUGUGGGCCAGAGGUGUCGUGGUUAAAUGAUGAUGAUAUUGGCACGUGAGUUGUCUGUGCUAUUGUGAUAGAGAAAUUGGCACGAGGUGCCGUAGAAAUAUGAAAGUGGGCUCAGAUCCGUAUUUUAUAAUUUUAAAAUAAGGUGUCACAAGGUGAUUUUUAUUCGAAAGAUAUUUAUUUGAAGAAUUAUAUUUGAAAGAGAUUCAUUUGAAAGAAUUAUAUUUGAAAGAUAUUUAUGAGAGAAUUAUAUUUGAGAGAGAUUUAUUUGAAAGAAUUAUAUUUGAAGGACUUGAUUAAUUGGUUGUACUUGUAUUCAUUAUUUGUUGAGCAAUAUUUAUGGUGUUCUUGUUGCCCUGUUGUGUAUAUCACUGGUUGAUUAUUGUUGCCGUCAUUGUUAUUUGUUCCCUAUUAUUUUUGUAUACUAUACUGCACAGGUUAUUAGAUUAGUGAGUGUCUUGACUGUACCUCGUCACUACUCCAGCGAGGUUAGUCUUGAUACUUACCGGGUACCGACUGUGAUAUACUCAUACUACAUUUCAGCAUAUUUUUGUGCAGAGCCAGGUAUUUAAGAUAUCGAACUCGGACAGAGUUAGAGUGGGAUCGCAAAGAUUCAAGGUAGAGCUGCUUGGUCGCCGCAGUCCCUUGGAGUCUUUCUAUUUUAUUGUACUGUUAAUCAUUAUUCAAACAUUAUUGAGUAUUCGAUCCCUGAGAUAAUUUCAUGUAUUCAGUUAGAGUUCAUGACUCAGUAUUUCCAGUCUUGGGAGGUUGUUUGUAAUUAUUUCUGUCGUUGAUUUCGAUUAUCUAAAAAAAAUGGCUUGAAUUGUAUUUAGAAUCGGCUUACUUAGUCUUAAAGACUAAGUGCCAUCACGACGCAUGUGGUGGGAUUUUGGGUCGUGACAUCCUUAGUAGCUGUAGCAGUUAGAGUUUACUACUUUGGAAAAGUUGUGAUCAAAAUUAGAGAAGAUCCACUACUUUUAUCUUUUAAUUUUAGUUUUAUGUCUUCAAUUACUUCUCUUUUAUUUUCCAUGUCUCCAAGCAUGAGUAGCUAGACUUUAUCUAUAGUUGUGACCCAACCCUAAUGUGUAAAAUUUAUGGGUUAUUAAUAUUAAUGCUUGUUAAUGGUUGGGUGUUUGUUAUUUACCAUUGUUUAUACUUUAUAUCUAGAAUUAAUGGUUGCAAACAUUGAUUCAUGCCUAUUUGAUUUAGUUCUUACUUAAGAAAGAGGAACCUAGUCUAAAAAAACUUGGCUAAUAAAAAAUUGAACUAGUUAAGGUUUUGACUAGUUUGAUUAAAGGAUUUGAACUAGAGAUUGGGAUAAUCUCACUUGGACUCAUAUCAAUUGCUUAGAUUGCUACCCAUUUGGUCUUGAGAAAGUUAAUUUGGGCAUAACCACUCUUUGAUCGAGGUGUAUUGUGUGGGUACUUGAGAAUUGAGAGUCAUAACACACCCCCGAUCUACCAAGCAAGCAUUACUUUAAUUUACCCAUUAAAUUUACACGUAGGUGAAGGUUACAUCCCUAAACUUUUUUCUUAAUUGAUUAAAACACCAAAAAUAUUUCAUUCUCUAGUUGGUACUAUUUAGUUUAAUUUCUUAGUUGUUAACUUAGAUAACAAUUAUCCACUAUUAUUUGAAAGUAUAAUUUAGCUAUUUCACGUUCUCUUCUUGAGUAAUUUAGCUAUAAUUUAGCUUUCCUUUCUGGCUCCUUCCUUGGCGAGAAGGUCCACUACUUGAUUCUGCUCCCAGAAGCUAUGUCCUACUAUUGGGCUCCCCAGCUCCUCCAUCAAAGACCUGCAUUCAUAAAUAAUAGAAUUGUAAGGGAAGUUUCCAUACUUUAGCAUUCUUAUCACUUUUUCAGAAUCUGUGAUGAUCUCAAGAGGUAUCAGAUUUUGCUCGAAUGCAGUUUUUAGGCCCUCCCAAAGGGCUUAGAAUUUUGCCAUGAUAUUGGUAGUAUGUGGCAGCCCCUUCAUAUAACCUAACACCCAGUCUCCCCUAUUGUUCCUGAAUACUCCACCAAUUCCCUUUAGCCCUGUGCUAGUACGCGCAGCCCCAUCAGUAUUUAGUUUAUAAAAACCAAUAGCUGAAGGCUGCCAUUUAAGAUAAAUAGUGGUUGUGUUAGGGGUGGAUCUAUAAUGCACUGUCACAUGAUGAUAUUCUACUAUUAUAGCAAUUGUUUGAUUAACAGAGAUAUUGUUUCUCUUUUAUCAAACACAUUAUUGUUCCUAGUUAACCAGAUGCUCCAAAAAUAGAAUGGUAGUAAGUAAUUCCAUCCAAUUAUAUUAUUGAAAGGCAUAUUUUUAAGCUUAUUCCAAGUGUAUUCUCAGUUUUGCAUUUAAAAAAAAAUGGUGAAACAUGCAUGAUAAGUGCCUUCGGGGAUAAUUUCAACUAGAAAAGUUUUGCAUUCAUACACUCAAAGAAAAUGUGAUUAAUGUCUUCUACAUUUGCACCACAGUAGGAGCAAUUGGGGUUUACAUUCAGGCCAAUGUGAUGAAGGUGCUUCUCUGUGGGUAGCUUGUUGUGUUGCAUGAGCCAAGUGAAAUUUUUUAUUUAUUUGGGGCCUCAAGCCUCCAUAUCCAACUAAACUAGUCAUCUUGGGCAUGAUUAUGCUCUAGAUCUUAUUCAAUGAAGGAGUAGGUUGACUUUGCACUAAAUAAACCAUUGCUAGUGAGGUUCCAGAUUAGUUUAUCUUCGGCGGUUGUACUAUAGGGGAUGGAAGUUGCUUUAGUAUCCUUUUUGAAUGUCUUUUUUUAAUUUUUAGUGCACUUUGAUUUUGUGCUCCUUUGAAAUUCGUAGAUUAUUAGUUGCUAGUCAUAUGUUUUAAGUUCUAUCCUUCAACACUAAAUAGGUUUUCAAGGGUUAUGUGUUUUUGUUGAUAAAAUGAAAGGAAGCAUGAUAACUUGUGAAGUUAAAAUUAUGACAUUAUAAAACUGGAAUAAAUUUUAACUUAAAUUAUUGACUAAUAAUUAAGGACUUUUAUGAGAUAAUUUCUUUUUUUUAUUGAGUUGAUUAUACACUAUCAACAUUCAUGAUCAUCUUUAAGAACUUGCACUUUAAUGUUAUAACUCAAACAUGAUUUAUAAUAAAUUUGAACUCAUUAAGAUGAGGUAAUAAGACAAGCGCUAUAGCCAAAAUAGAGGAUCAAGUAAUAAGACAUGCUCUCAUUAGAUUAAUAUUGCAUGUUAUACUUCACUAGUAAGAAGGGUCUUUUUGGGUAUAUUUUGUGUUUGCCGUCAAGUUAAACCCUUUCCUUAUGAUAUUAUCCUUCGUUUAGUAGAUUGUGUGGUAGAAAAAUUUCGGCAUAAGAUCACGCAUAAAAUAAUAUAAUAUUUAAUUAGUCGCAUAAUCAAAAACAAUCGUCACAUUCUUUUUUUGGUUGGCAAUAUUAAAUACAUACACACCAGGGGCAGCUCUAAGGGCCGUGAGGCCAUUGACUUAGGCCCCAAAUUUUGAAGGAUCCCAAAUUUAUUUUAAAUUCUUAUUAUUAUUGUUACUAUUAUAGUAUAUUAUAUAAUUUAUAUAAAUAAUUAGAAUAAGAAAAGUGUUACAGUAUAUUUUUUGUUACUUGAUUGAGGUUAUUUUAUACAAUAAAUUUAUGAAUUAUGAUAAUUUUUUUCCCUCGUUAAUUAGUAUAUUUGAUAAGAGUAAAUUGCUUUAGUGGUGAGCAUCCUCCAUUUUCGACUAAGAGGUUGUGAGUUCGAGUCACCCCAAGAGCAAGGUGGAGAGUUUUUGGAGGGAGGAAACCGAGGGUCUAUCGGAAAUAGUCUCUCUAUUCCAUGAUAAAGAUAAGGUCUGCGUAUAAACUACUCUCCCAAGACCCCACUAGUGAGAUUAUAUUGGUAUUAACGACCUCCGAAUAUGAUUUCACCUUAGGCCCCGAGAUAUGUUGAGCCGCCCCCGAUACACACAUUAAGUUACGCGAGAAUUAUGUAUCUGUUUUUUAGGGAAUAACACGUAGAAUAAAUUUUUUAUGUAUGUAUAUAUAAGAAAUUAGACCAUUAAAAACAAAAAUAUCUCAUGAGUAAAUAAUUCUUAUAUAAUAAUAACUCCUUCCUUAUUAUAACAAUUCGGUUAUUUAUCAAUUACCACAUAAACAUUUCCUAUAUUUUAAUCCAGAUGAAACAUGGAACAAAUAAUGAGCUAAAUCCUGUAAACAGAAACAAUGAUAAUCUAAUACUCCAGUAGAAGAUAUCCAAACAUAAAAAUACCCAAAAGUAGGCAAGAAAAUAAAGAGUGACAGUCUCCUUCUAUCCCAUGGCAGUGCUACAGAAGCUCAGUUCCUUUAAUCACUUCCCCAGACAACAAUCUCAGUUCAAGAAACCCAAAUUAUGUUGUCCUUUACCUUUAAAGAUUCAGAUUUUCAGUUGUCCUAUAAAACACAGAAUCUAUCAUCCUUCAUUUCAAGUCUCAUCUUCACUAAUUAACACUAAUUACUCAAACCACCAUGAUUAUGCUCAAAAAUUGGUUCAAGAAUUUGACCCCAAAAUCCCUAUUGAAGAAGCUGUGACUCCACCUAGUUCUUGGUACACAGACCCUUCUUUUUAUAAUCAUGAACUCAAUCAAGUCUUCUUCAAAGGAUGGCAAGCUGUUGGUAUGACAUCUUUGCACCAUUUUUUUGUCUAUCUAUAUGCUUCUUUAAAUAAUUAAAAAAAUAAGAUUAUAUUUGAAUUUUUGUUUAAAAAUUACUACUAUUAAUAUUUUGGAUUGUUUUUGUUCUUUCUCUGGAUUUCCUGGUUCCUUUAUUUAAUUUUGUUUUUGGUCUGAUACAAUUUGGAAAUUUAGUAGCUUGUCAUUGGAAUUAUUGGAUUUAUUAGCAGUAUUUUUUAGACUUUAUUGGGGAGAGAGGAGUUACACCACUUAAAAGAGAUAGACCGGUUCACAAAGCAUUCUGCAUUCAUGGGUCCUGGAAAGUGCACACCCCAAGAGGGUAUAAUGUAGGCAGCGUACCUUGAUGCUUGCAUCAGUGGUUGAUUCGACGCCUUGAACCCGUGAGCUAUAGGCGACAACUUUACUGAUGCUCCAAGGCUCCCCUAAAUCUUUGCAAUUGUUUUUUUCUUUUUGAUAUUAAUCCUUGCCUUAAUUAGCUCUAUGACUGAAGCUUGGAUGUUGAGAGCUUUCCUUCAUUUGUCCUUACACAUAUCUUUACGUACACUCUUAUUACUAAAUAUAGUAAAUUAAUACACAUACACUCUUAUCAAUAAACUGCAGUGAACUAAUACACAUUGUCAAACUUACAACUUAAUUAUGGUAAAUUAGUAUGGUUUGGUGUAAAAUCCUGGUGCGCAAAAGUUUUUAAACCGCACCUUCCCUUUUAAUUCCAACUGUAUUAUUAGUUGUCGUAGCUAAUGGUAUUGCAGUCUUAGAACAUAGCUCUUGUGGAUCUCCUGCAUAUGCUUCCAUAUGUGUGUUAGCAAUGGCGAAGCCAGGAAUUUCCUCAAGGGUGUUCAAACUUGAAAGAAGUCAAAAAAAUUCUUCGACAAAGAGUGUUCAAUAUAUGUUAUAUACCUCUAAAACCUAAUAUUCUAUCUAUAUACGCAGUAUAAUUUUCCGAUGAAGGGUGGUCAGUUGACCAUCCUUUAAGACAUGUAAUUUCGCCCUGCUGUGUGUGUUUUCAUGUAUUAAUGUAUUUCCAUGGCGGCAAUAGACAAUAUUUUAGUGGAGCUUUGUUGAAGUAAUUUGCCAAUAGUGUUAGGGGGAGCUUUUAUGAGGCACAAUUAGUAUUCAUAAAGUUUAGUUUGCAAAGCUCAAUUUGAGCUCAACUUGCUUAAUGUGCUAUUGCCUAGAGUCAUUAGUAAGAACCUAAUUAUGAGGUACAAAACUAUGGUAAUUGUAUUGACUACAGGACAAGUAAAACGAGAGUGUAAUGCAGGUUCUUGUUUAUUUAUCUAGUAGUAGUAUGAUUUUACCAAUUCUUUGUAAGAGAGUAUUUAAGUGAUCCGCUUUCUGAAUGUGAAUUUGCUGCAAUUCUUUUGCGAUUUUCAGGGUACACCGAACAGAUCAAAGAGCCUAGCCAGUAUUUCACCGGAAGGUACUGUUAUACCAUAAAUUUCAUUAUAUUAUGCCAUUGGUAUUUGUUAGUUGCAACUGAUUCACAUCAAAAGCUUUUGCUUAAAUGCAAGCAAAAGGAAUAACGAGCUCUCAGUCUGGUUAAUCUUAAGAUGUACCUGUCUAUUUUAUUCGAGUAGCUAAUAGUUAAAAUACAGAUUGGGCAAUGUCGAGUAUGUUGUAUGUCGAGAUGAUGGUGGAAAAAUACAUGCUUUUCAUAACGUGUGCCGGCAUCACGCCUCUCUUCUUGCCUCGGGAAGUGGGAAAAGAUCUUGCUUUGUUUGCCCAUACCAUGUGAGUUUUUAAUUGCUUUGAGCUGAUUUCAGUUUUCUUUUCUCAGUACAUAAUGUGAUUUGAAGGCUUACUUCACCAUCAGUUUUCUCUUGGUCUUAUCACUAAUUGUUCUUUCAGUAAAUGUGAUUACAUGUUGGGUUAUUGCUGACAAUUGGAGUAAAAGAGUUCAUAUUUACUGCUAGUACUGGUAUUACCUGCAUAUUUUCAGCAAGUAAAACUAGGAGUUUCUGACUAUCCAUUUUUCUUUAUUACUGAGGUCCUUGAUGUGUCAAGCUUGCAUUUGAAAUACGUACUACAGCCGAACCUAAUACAAAGGACAUAUGCUAAUUGUUAUAGUAUAUUAGUUCGUUCUAUUGCCUUGUUAUUACCUUGUUGUUUCUAUUAAUUGGUUAUUGCUUCCUUUUACUGUUCUUGAGCGGAGGGUCUAUCGGAAACAGCCUCUCCACCUUCGUAAGGUAGAGGUAAGGUCUACAUACACAUUACCCUCCCCAAACCCCACUUGUGGGAUUCCACUGGGUUUGUUGUUGUUGUUGUUUAUUACCUUGUUAUAUUGUUUGAAAGAAUAUUUAAGAUCUAUUAUUUAAAUUAGAUGUCAUGGUCAAAUAUAUGAACGGAAUGAAGUAGAUAUCAUAGUUGAAGAUAAAAAUACUUUUGUAUUUCAUUUGAUUUUCUUGUGUUUAUUCCUUCUUCAGUGUGUGAUCAAUGGUGUUGUGACCAUCAAGUCGGAGAAGGGUCAUCAAUUACUUAUUAAGUUAAUUCAAAAGUACAUGUUUUUAGCUCUUCCCCGCACCCCCCCGCAUAGCGGGAGCUUAGUGCACCGGGCUGCCCUUUAUGUUUUUGCCUCCUGUCAAUUUAGUAUGCUUUCUUGCUUCCUUUAUGUACUUAGAUAUUAGCUUCUUAACAUGCAUCCCAGAGAUAUUAUUAUCUUAACAUUUGUUCGGUAUAGCAUAUGAUACAACUUUAGACAUAGUGGAGGAAAUACCAUCAAAUGUAAUUUUAUUUUACCAUUCUUCCUUUUGCAGGGGUGGACAUACGGAUUGGACGGAGCGCUUCUUAAGGCAACUAGAAUAACUGGAAUCAAGAACUUCAAAGUGAACGUAUUAAACAUAUAUUGAAUAACCACAUUGUCAAUUAAUGGUCAGUACUUAAAUGUAGGGGUGAUUUGGUCUGCUGUGUUUUUCUAUAUGAAGGAUAGGAGAUGGGACUAGUUCCAAUGAAAGUAGCUGUAUGGGGACCGUUCAUACUUCUCAAUUUUGAAAAUGGAGUUUUGUCUGAACAAGAAUCUGAUUUUGACUUGGUUGGAAACGAAUGGCUGGGUACUUCAUCCCAAAUCUUGGUGGAUGGUGGUGGAGUCGAUUCUUCAUUAAGUUUUUUAUGUAGACGCGAAUACACCAUUGAGUGUAACUGGAAGGUCAGUUCUAACAUUACGGUUAGAUCAGUUCAUUGGUCCACAAGAAAUCAGUCCUUUUCUAAUUUACCAGUGUGUUCUGUUGUAGGUGUUCUGUGACAACUACUUGGAUGGAGGUUAUCAUGUACCAUAUGCUCAUAAAGGUCUUGCUUCUGGUCUGACGCUUGACUCGUAUUCUACCACGGUAUGCUCAACACUAUUUUCUAACUUUGAGUUGUAUUUAUUCUUAAUUUUCCUCUGAAUCCAAUUUCCACGAGCUACAAUAUAAGUGAAUGUCUGCUGUUGUUGCAUGUAACUAUUAAUAAUGAAGCAGAUACUUGAGAAAGUCAGCAUCCAACGAUGUGAAACUGGGAGUGCAGAAAAGGACCAAGAAUUUGAUCGACUUGGAUCAAAAGCUUUAUAUGCAUUCGUGUAUCCAAACUUCAUGAUCAACAGGUUGGUGCUUCAUAUAUAGAUAAACCGGCUGGUUUCGCUUCAACUUUUUCAUGACUGGUAAUUCUUGUAAAUCUUAUCUGUGGAGCACAUAGGUAUGGUCCUUGGAUGGACACGAAUCUAGUACUGCCUCAAGGACCUCGGAAAUGUCUAGUGAUAUUUGACUACUUUCUUGAUGCAUCUCUCAAGGUAAAUGUAAAUUCAUUCUACGUAACGUAUGUUUAAUUUCUAUAUGCAUCUCUCGUACCGCUCUUCUUCAGUUCUCUCCUAAGUACUCUGGAGGCACUGAGUUGUUUAACUUCCUUGAUUAUUUUCAUACUGGUGGUGAUAAAAAAUUUGUGCUCAACAAGAUUAAAUCGUGAAAUUACUAAGUUGAAUUUGGACGUUAGGAGAGAGAGAAAGCUAUCUAUCAGGGAGAUGAUUAGGAAGACAUUUCCCGUUAUGCCUAUUUGACAUCUGGUACUAGACUGAUUUAGUCUAUGGUGGGCUAGGUUUUUGGUUUGGCGCCAAUUUCUUUUAGGAGGCCUAACUGUUAUAAUUUCUAAUUUGGUGGAUCUUAGAUUGCAUUGUAGACCAUUUUCCGUAUCAAUGUGUGGCUAUCUAUAGCUCAACUGUAAAAAUUUUGUUCAUUUACGUCUAGCUAUGCCUUUAUCAAGCGUGAAGGGGAGCCUUGGCGUAACUGGUAAAGUUGCUGUCAUGCGACCAGGAGGUCGCGGGUUUGAGCCGUGGAAACAGUUUCUUGUAGAAAUGCAGGGUAAGGCUGCAUACAAUAGACUCUUGUAGUCGGACCCUUCUCCGAACCCGCGCAUAGCGGGAGAUUAGUGCACCGGGCUACCCUUUUUAUGCCUAAGCCUGAAGAUCCUCCCCUACUGAAAUGCCAUUUUCUCUUCAUGGAAGAUCUUUUUGGGUAACGGGGGAGUGGGGGGCGGCGGAAGCCAGGGAAAGGAGUUUCUUAGAGGUUAGUAUGAAGUGGAUUAGUAUGAAGUGGAUUUUGCAAUUGUAAGGAGAAGCCAAGAUCGUUUGAUGGUGGCGUGGUGAGUCUUCCUAUAUAGUUACUCUUAUUUUCUAAUAUUUAUCUUCAUUGUGUUCCAUAUGUUACUGGUGUAAGGAGUACUUUUACAUGAUAGAAAAGGAAAGGAAUCAUAAUUCAAAGUUAUGGUGCGUCCAAGUCUUUGUUUUCUUACUUAAAAAUCAAUUUACUACUUCCAGAAAUUGAUUCUUUAUUUGUCCACAGGGUGACGAGAGUUUUAUCGCACAGAGUCUCCAAGAUAGUGAGACAGUGCAGGUAUAGUAAAAACCUGUAAAAUAUUCCGAUCAACUUUGUUACUGGAACGGCAAUGCAUAUAUGCAUCUAUAUGUAUUCGAUCAUACACUCACAAGUAUUGUUAAUUUUGUUGACUACAAUUUGCAGAUAGAGGAUAUAAAAUUAUGUGAAGCUGUACAAAGAGGCCUCGAAUCACCUGCGUACAGCUCUGGCCGGUAUGCACCACAAGUCGAGAAGGCUAUGCAUCAUUUUCACUGUCUUCUAUAUGAAAAUCUUUGUAAUUGAUGUAUUUCUUUGUGCUUACUAUAUGUGAGAUUUCCAGAAAAUUAUCUUCAAUGUUUUCUACUGAUAGUAGUAGCUAUCUGUGCCAGAAAAUUAUCUUCAUUGUUCCUAGCCCUUUGCACCAUUCGUUGUACUAUGUAUGGCUUUAAUAUUACUAUCAGCUAUCUGUGCCAGAAAAUUAUCUUCAUUGUUCCUAGCCCUUUGCACCAUUCGUUGUACUAUGUAUGGCUUUAAUAUUACUAUCAGCUAUCUGUGCCAGAAAAUUAUCUUCAUUGUUCCUAGCCCUUUGCACCAUUCGUUGUACUAUGUAUGGCUUUAAUAUUGUUCUAAAUCACAAGCUAUAACGGAUCUUAUUUGAAUUUAGUUGCUCAAUCGGAAAAAGAAAAGCUGCAAGUACCACUAGGCUUGGUAGACAACAGAAGAUUUAAAUGCGAACUAGAAAUACACAAAAUUAGGCUUACUGUCUUGUUGUUUCCAUAAAUAAUGUGAAAUGAUUUUUUGAGGCGUCUUUGCUCCUAACCCUAUUCGGAACUACAACAGCAUAAAAGAAAUCUAGCAAAGAUAAAGAAAAUAUAAAUCAUUCGAGUGGACAGAUAUUAACCAAGCUGGAACUCAAGAUUAAAGUUUAUAGAAGAUUAAAUAUUCAAAAAAAUACAUCUAAAUCGUACGAAAUGAAACAUAUUCAAUAUAUUGUAGUUUACAUCUUAUAAUUGCUAGAAUACCUUGUGUCUUGCUAGUGAAUAUGCUAAAAAUAAUUUAGUUUCAACAAAAAUAUGUUUGGGAAUUAGGAUUUUGAGUUUUAAUUACUUAUUAGAUUGUAACUGUUUUUAUAUUUACAAAGCCCAAGAAAAAAUUUAAUGCUUCAUUAUUUUUAAUUAAUAUAUAAUAUAUUUUUCACAUGUAAAUUUAUUUCGGUACGAUUCAAUAUUUUUUCGAUUUAUUUUCAUAAAUUAAAACCUACCCUAAUUAUUAGUACGUUUAGACUUAUAUAAAACCGAUAUGCUAAAAAUAAUUUAGUUUCAACAAAAAUAUGUUUGGGAAUUAGGAUUUUGAGUUUUAAUUACUUAUUAGAUUGUAAUUGUUUUUAUAUUUACAAAGCCCAAGAAAAAAUUUAAUGCUUCAUUAUUUUUAAUUAAUAUAUAAUAUAUUUUUCACAUGUAAAUUUAUUUCGGUACGAUUCAAUAUUUUUUCGAUUUAUUUUCAUAAAUUAAAACCUACCCUAAUUAUUAGUACGUUUAGACUUAUAUAAAACCGAUAAAACCGAUUUUUUAAAAAAAAAAACUAAAAAUCAAUUCGGUACAAUACUAAUAUGAUUUAACAAGACGAUGUAAAAUCACAUAUGGGUAAUGCUAUUUUGGGGCAUGUGUCCUCGUAGAAUUGAAAUAACACAAUGAUACAAGCGGAUAUGCUUGCUUGUGCUAUCUUAAAAUUAAUGAUAUAAUCAAGUGCAACCUUGAAGAUAAAUUAGAAUACAGAGCGAAAUGUUGGUGGGUCUAUCAUCUAAAGCAAAUUGCCAAGUAAUCAAUUCCUCGUAUAAAUGAUAAAUUCAUGUUAUAUGAACAGUAGAAAAGGCUAUUUUUUACCUUCAAGAACAUCAGAGGUGGAGUACAUUAGGAAAACGCCGACUACAUCCGAAUUUAAAGCGGCAAUCAAGAAAUAUAUUAAUACUGUUCUACUAAUUCACAAAAUGACCCAACUAGUAAAAUAUUAUCGGCAAAGUUCUGUACAGUAGCAAAAGAAACGCCACCCUUACAAAACGCAGAGACACUGUUAGUUAGUUAAUUUCGUGUACGUAUAAAUGUCUAUGAACACUCCUGUUGAUUUCUUCGUUUCGGUAAUUUCUUGGAAAAGUACUCCCCAAAUGGCUUCUCAGGGACAGGUAUCAACUUCCCAAGAGCAGCUAGGGGCCAGCUGUUGAGCAAAACCAACUUCACUUGGUACCAGAAAAAAUACUAGAUCAAUUAAUGCAGUUCAUAAGACCAGACUAACCUUAUAAAUCCAAUGGCUAUUGAAACAAGCCACAAUUGCCAACUCAGUCUCACAGUUGAAACGAAUUUUCCAAGAAAGAAUAUUAUGAUAACCUAAGGAAAAAAAAGAUAUUGUUAAUCUGAUAGGUUGAUGUUCAACGCCAAAUAGAAGGAUAGGGAUGAGGUAUAUACCUGAAGCACCAAUGUGAAGCCAACUAUUGAAAUGAACAGACGGUUUUUGUGGACUCCACUGAAUACAUUUAUCUCAUCUGGCUUCCGAGCAUUCAAUUCAUUGAAAACCUGCAGUUUCGAGUCAUUAGCAGUGAUACAGCGAUUAAAUCUCAGUAGACAGGCAAAUAUCUAAUCUAAGCUAAUGUGGCUCAUUGCAAACAGCAAUAUGAAAUUUCAGUUUCAGACUUUUUGCCGCCAUCGCCCGAACAAAACCAAAAAAGAGGAAAAAGUUAGAAACACAGGGAAAUUGAAGGAGCUCAAGAGAAAAAGUUGCCUCAUAUUUAAUUUAAGAAUCAUUUCCAAAAACACAACCAAGAUGCUUAAAAAGUGCAGAGAUUACUACCGCCUCCAUCCGAAUUGGAUGUCCACCCUUGAUCUGGCACGAUUAAGGGAAGAUUUGAAACUAAGAAUUGUUUAAUAUUAGUUGAGAAAACACAUGGAUGCUUUGACUUUUUUAUGGCCAAUAAAAGAAAAAUAAUAAGGUGGAGAAGCGAGGCGGCUAAAAUUUUUAUGGUAUUAAACGUAUUAGACCUGCUGAUUCAAGGAAAGUGGACAACUUCUACAAUCCAAAAUUGUAACUAAGACAAAUUCCUAGGGGAGAGGACGUGCUUGAGUUCGCACUAGGUACAAACAAGAUAUCUUUCUUAUGUAAGAAAGGAAAAAUAUACUAUGGGGAGUGCAAAAUCAUAGCAUGUUUCUUUAUCAGCUUUUCUUACCUGACACAGGACAAAAGCAUUGAAAAUCAAGGUAUUCUUCACUUUAACAGCGUGCUCCCUCGUCUCAUGCUCCAAAUGCAGAAUUUGUUCACCUCGGAAAUUGAGGAUUAGGAGAACUGUAACUUGAUACAGAGCCUGCAGAUGUUCAAGCAGGAGAUAUCAACCUCGAAAAUUAAUGUAAAAUGAAUAUUUCUCACUUUGGAACAUCAGCCAUCAAAUUCUUUUUACCUGUAUUAAUAGGUUUCUCCACAUUAUAUUGGUGACGAGAGGUUCCCUAAGAUAGAAUUAAACAAACAAUCAAUUGAUGCUGCGCACGAGAAACAUUAUAACUAUGAGAACAUAGGUUAGUAAUACAGAAAGAAGCUGAAAAUAAGUUGAUCCAUUUGGGGAAUCAUUGGCUAGAGCUGCAACAGAACAUAUUCCACCACUAAAUGUUAUUAAUACAAGUAGGAUGCACAUCAGCACCGAAGCAUGAAAAUGAAUGGCAGAAGAUACUGAGGCAAUAUAGAAGUCUCUAUAAUCUAGUAACAUAAGUGGAAAGAGUCAGAAACGUAUAGAAUCCAGCUUACAGUAUAAUCACAUUAACGUUAAGAAUGUAGUCAGAAUGUUCAAACCAACUGAAAGAAUAAUGUGCGGAAAAGUUGGUUUUCCUGCAGGGUGGUUUCAGACUUGCACAUCGUAGGGGUAGAUGUUUUAUAAAAGUAUCUCACGGCUUCAAAACAAGUUCACUUCCUACACAUUAUGCAAAAUGACAUGAAAGAAAAAAAUUCUAACAGAUCAAUAAUACUUCCUUAUACUUGAUCUACUGCACAGCCACAUGAUGGAUUAGUUAGUUAUCUCUAAAAGCCAACCCCAUCCGUCAAACUACAAAUACGCAGAAACGGUAGUGCAGCCAAGCUAAUGUUACUUGACGAAACAAACAAUAUUUUUGCCAUUAAAAUGUUGAAACAAGCUUCUUUUUUUCAGAGAUUGAUCUGCAAACUAACCUUCGACCAACAGGAGCUCGGCGCAUUAGAUGAUCAGUUGGUGGUUCUGUGGCCAGUGCAAGCGCACCCAAGGUGUCCAUAAUAAGAUUUACCCAAAGUAGCUGCACAGGUGAAUGGCAAAACCUAAAUGAUUAACAUCAGAACAUAGAGGUCGAACACACAAAGUGUGCAUCCGCUAAUCACACUGAUCAAUGAUAAGAAAGCAGAGAAACUAAACCUGAACAGCAUUCAAUGGGACAUCACCAGCAGAAACUGCAGCAACAACAUUAAUUAUAAGAGCAGCAACGUUAACAGUUAGCUGAAACUGGAUGAAUUUCUGGAUGUUAGCAUAUACGGAUCUGCCCCAUCGGACAACCUGCAUUUGAUGGGAUAAAAAACAAUAGAAAUAAGUAUUGCCGUGCACUAGUUUGAAAAUUUUUAGAACUUCAAUCACUGCAACUAGAAAAGAUACUAAUGGGUUUCCAAAAUAUAUCAGGUAAAAUAGAUUUAACUUCUGAAGUGCUGAAGGCAAUUUAAACGUGUACAGAAAACUUGCAUUCUGAGAUAGGAACUUGUUAGCAAUAAAGAACCUUUCAGAAAGUAAGAGUCUAUCCCAAGUAUUUCAGUCAUUCCAGAAGAUUCAAAAUUCCCAGCAGGAAAGUUCAUUCCCCACCAUUAAAAAGUUAUACUAAGCACCUUCUUUUAGGUUCCAAAAUAUAUAAACACGACUGUUGGGAUAUCUUCAAGGCAAUAAAAAUAGAAAAAGAAUGUUCAUGUUCCUUAAGUCAAGCAUGCAAGACAAGUUUGGCUUUACUAAGAUAAUAAGAGCCUGAGAACUUCCUGCUAAAGCUGCCAGCAUGAUAAACUGACCUUCACGACAGAAGCAAAAUUGUCAUCCAGGAUGAUGAUAUCUGAACUUUCUUUGGCAACUUCUGUUCCUUGAAUGCCCAUAGCAAGACCAAUAUCAGCCUACAAGGCAGCAGGAAAGAAAAUUUUAUUAGCAAAAUAUAGGAGUUCGUUGUGAAGGUAACUAACACCUGCUACCUCAUGAAAGAAAAACAGAGAGCAAACAAGAAAGUUUAACCAGCAAAUAAAAGAAUAGAACGCAAGAGAAAAGACUUCCUUUCUCAAUGGUUCAGCAAGUAACCAUAUAGCAACAGAAGGAAAAUCCUCUCAGGCAGAAGGGACAGUGAACAGGAUAAAACAAUUCAACAAGAGAAUACAUAGCUAACAUGCACCUAGCAGACCUCAUGCUUUCUAUAAUCAUAUCAGAUAGCUUAACCAGCCAAGAAGAGCACCUCAUGUAGUGCAGGAGCAUCAUUAGUGCCAUCGCCAGUUACAGCUACAACAUGGCCCUUACUCCUUAGUGCUUGAACAAGCAAGAGCUUAUCAUUAGGAGAAGAUCUUCCCAUAACCUGGACAUGAUGUGAAUUUAAAAGUGAGGAAAAACCUUGUUGAACGACUAAGAAUAGUCUAGUUUCAUUCCAUACCGAUAUUUUCUCUGCCACUUCCUUUCUAUCUUCCUCCGAUAAAGCUCUAAACCUCUUCCCUUCAAUCAGGUUUGGUUCAGUUGCAUCAGCAUCAGACUUAAGAAUCCCACAUUCCAAAGCUAUUGCUCUUGCUGUUUGUAAGUUGUCACCAGUGACCAUCCUUACCUGUGAAUUUGAGGGAAAACAGAUUUAUGCUUUUACAUAUAUUGAAAGGCAGCAGGGCAGCUAAAAUAUUUCAAAAAGGAUUGGAAGCAACAACCACUUGUACAACAGUAUAUCCUAUAGUAGUGGACAUCCUACACUAUGAGCAUAUAACAAAGCUCCCCAUGCUGGGACUUCCUAAGUUCAAAUAUGAAAGGUAUAGGGUACAAUAUGAACAAAAAGAAUCAUACAAUGUUACAGCCUUAUACAGUCAUAACAUGUAUUGCACACUACAAAGUUUUUAAGAGAUGAAUCAACCAUUUAAGACUUCACCAAGCACGCAAGAGGAACACAGCUUGUCAAGGAAAACAUUCACUAGUACAUUCACAGAACAGUAUAGCUGGUCACAAAAGUUAAGAACUUCCACAGAUUAACAAGCAGCUGAUCUGCCUAAUCUGUUUGAGAGUUCCAUGAAUCUGAAACAAUCUCUAAGAAAGUAUACCAAUUACGCUCAAUUCUAUAUUGUUCAGGCAUCGUACUGUUCGUCCAAAACCACAAUUACGAUGAAACCAAAAAGAAUAUUGAUAUAUUCAUUAAAAAAGACAAGUAUCACAGACUUCCUACCAAGAACUGCCANNNNNNNNNNNNNNNNNNNNNNNNNUAUAACUUCGUAUAAUGUAUGCUAUACGAAGUUAUUACGCACUGAAACACGUGUUCAUAACUAGAGAGUUCAAAAAUCAUUCUAGAUAAAGUAUGUAAUCUGAGGUCCAGUAAGCAAAGGCUUUUUCCUUCAAAUUUAUGGUAAAACAGAGAUGCGACCAUCAUUGAGCUAAUAACACAUGAAAAAACAAAUAAUAAGAAUUAAGGCAGGCUCAAUACAGCGUUGUGUUUCAAAGAACCAAAUGCAAAUGCAUUGUUCCAAAUUACCUUCACUCCAGCAUCAAUACAUAACUGAACUGCAUCUCUUACACCUGGUCGGCAUGGAUCCUAUAAGAUACAUGUGAAGAAUUAAUUACAUGUGAUAAGAGCAAAUUAAACGAUACUUCUGCAUUAUAUAUGCUUCAAAUGGAAAGGGUAUGUAGAGAAAAGAGAAAGUGAAAUGAAUUGUAACUGCAGAACAGGCUAUGAGAGUGCACAGUAAGUGUAAAAUUUAGCACCCAGUUCCUUAAAUUAUCCAGGCUUAAAGAUAGAGUUGAAGCCGGGCUUGGCUUAUACUUUUUUCAAGGUUGAGCUCAGUCAAAGACUCAUCAAAAUUCAAACGUCAAGCUAGCUUUUCUUCCUAUUUCUCGUAUAAUUAUACCCCCGACCCCACAUGUGGGAUUACACUGGGUUUGUUGUUGUUUGUUGUUGUUUUUAUUGAGAAAGAUAUAAGUCACCAUUUCUGCAAUUAAAAAUAUUUGAGGAGGAAAGCCUAGUCCUUGACCAGUGGCCCUAACCAUCACUCUUAUCUCUCCAUCCAUUCUCCAACUUCCUAGCCACCAUCGCUACUUCUUCUCCAAGUCGCAGAAACAUGUUCACCAUUCAACCUCCCCAUGGUUUUGGUUCCCCACCACAGAUUGAUUUUGCUUCGCUGCUUAAAUCUUUUUCACCCUGUUCUUCACCACUGUUGCUCCAUAGCAUCUCCGCUAUAAGUUUCAGUGCCCGAAGACUGACUACCUUCCACUCUUACUGCUGCUUUCCAGCUGGAAAACCUAACUUAAUUUUGAAGAUCUCAUGGAAUUAAUGUCAACAAGGCGAUAUAUCAUCUCCAACCUCAAGCUUGGGAAUUUGCCUUCAUAGACGUACUAUUUAUGGGUUUCAAUUAAAAAGCGUUAUCAGGUUAAAUAAAGCAAACUUGAAAAUUAUCUUGGUUGUCAGCUUCCAAAGUCGCUUUAUCUGUUUGCCCACCCUAGGUAAGCCUAGGGCUCACAAUCUCAAGUUGCUGAAUCAUCUCCUUUGUGUGAGCACGAGCAGCAACUUUCAGUCAGCCAAGCCCAAAAACAGUACAGAAAAGGAUCAAUUCAAGAUUACCCCAUAAAGAUCUCAGCUUAGUUUUAAUUUGACAUGCAAAUUUACACCCUUUAAACAGACUAGCAGAAUAAUUGAAUAACUUGGAGUUCUUUAACAUUUUCUUCAGUCUGCUGCAGAAAAGUUACCCUUGGCGCAUAGAAGAGAGAAAUGUCCUAUAAAAACAAAACAAAACAGGUUUAAAGUGUUUUGCAAAGUACCUUAAUGCCAACAAUGGCAAGCAAUACCAGAUCACCCUCAGGUAUUUGCCAUUGCUCUACUUCUUCUUCGUUGGGAACUUUCUCAACAUCAUAUUGUCUAUAGGCAAUAGCAACGCAUCGCAAACUUGAUGCUGCCAUGUCAUUGAUGGAUUGCUUGAAAUGAGACACCUGUGGACCAUAAAUACUCAGAACUAAAGCUGAAAAUUUAUAGAAUAAUGCUAAAUCUUUUUCGGGUCAGUAGAAUUAUGCUAUAUCUUAUGCAGCAGCGCAUAGAAUUGAUAACUGAAAAUUUAUAGAAUAAUGAUAAAUCUUUUCUGGGUCAAUAGUAAAUGUUCAAGGAACACACCAUUCAACUUUGCGUUGUUCUUAUCUUUUGAAGUGCCUAAUUCAAAUUCAAUGGUUCAUAGUAAAAAUACUCGGAGUGAUAACUGACCGAUAUUUCUCAAAAUGAAGAAAAAUAUAGUGCACUUUUUAAAUCAGGUUAAAGUUGCUAGUGAAUAAAUAAUUUUUAGUUUCUUCAACGGAUCAACUGCUUGAUAAGACCAACAUUUACACAAACCUUAUCAUCACCCAGAGGAACCACCGACCCAUUCUCAUCAAUGAAACUUGUACAACAAGAGAGAACAAUCUCAGCCGCCCCUUUCCAGUGCAAGUGAACCUCAGAAUCAUGCUGCAAAACACCAAACCACACAUCCAGCAUCAAUACAUCUCUAAUCAAGAAACACGGUAUUGGUAACGCCUAAGGCAUUGUUUGGAUAUAAAACCAAUUUAAUAAGGUGGUUUCUCAACGAUCAUAAAGCUGUAAGAACUAAAUUCCGACUUCCAACCUUCCAGAUAGCUUUAAGACUUUUUCCCUAUCACGAGGAAAACUUAUGGCACCUAAAGAAGAGAUGGACAUGUUCUUUUGACAAGUAAGAAGAGAUGGACACAGAAGCAAUUUUCUGUGAAUCAUCUGGAUACCAAAUAAAAGAACCAGAUUUUCUGAACAUCAACUAAGCAUCUUUUGGUCUUUGUGCUAAUCAAAUAGAAAAAAAUCUAGUGAAAGUGCAAGAAUGAUACAAGCAACAUGAAUAAACAAGCUUUACACUAUAUGGCUACUAUUCUUAACAAUGAUGAAAUGGGAAUCGUAUGUCGGUUUUUAUAUUAGUUUGAUUUUCCUGUAAAGUCCUCAAGUAGAGUAACAAAGGUUUAACACUAAAGACCAGUCAUAUUAUAUGAUAAGAAAAGAAGUUUCAGAAUUGAGCAUUGCAUUACCAGCUUCACAGCAACGCCACCUCUUUUUUUCUCUGAGUUGAAUGGGAAAGCAUGGAUAAUGGAUGCUUUUGAUCGUACUGCAUCAAAAUUCAUCCCUAGCUGUAGAAGAAACAGUUUACUUAAGAGAAUUUUGACAUCAAUUACUAUAAGCAUAAAGCAAGCAUAAUUACAUUGACACCCCAUUGGAGAAUAGCUUUCUCUGUCGGCGAUCCGGAAAUCUCAGCAGCAGCACCACCCUAUCAGAAAAUGAGCAAGCAUGUGAUCUUCAUUUGCAGUAUCUUCUCUAUCUAAAUGCAUAAAGGUAAUCCCCACAAAAUGAUAAAGCAAAAGCGGUAAGACCACUCAUAACUGAUAACACGAAAUCACACCAUAAAGAGUCAAAGGACUCCACAGUGGCAGAGAAGGUGCUUCAGCAAUUGUUUAGUUAGAGAGUAUUCUGAAACAAUAUCUGUUGUUUUCUUUGAUAAGCAGAAAAUUUGUAAACAUAAAUCAUUAGCAUGGACCCUAGGGGCCCAUGUUGCUGGACAUAUCAAGCAGUAUCUCACCACCCAGAGGAUUUUUGCUGACAAAUCCACCACUUUAUACAAUUGCUAUUCAUCCUGCGGUUCAUUCUACUGUUAAUAUUCAAAAAGCCUAGAGUACACCAGCACUGUAAAUCCCUGUCAACUUAGCAAGUAAGCUUUCAUAAUUGAAACACUAGAUUUCAAGGCUACUCGUUCAUGUCAAAACUCGCCAUCACUUCUAGCAGACCACAAGGGCAACAUACAGCUCAAAAAUUUCAACUACCAUAUUAAAACGUAGAAAAUUAUAAAUAUAAGCGAGGAAUACAGUUCCUAAACUAGUAUAUAUGGAACAGCAGAUUCACACCAUUCAGAGUUAUCAGAUUACUUCCUCAAACUUCUAUAGUAUAUGUCAGCAGCAUAUUGUUAAGCAUAAGUGCAAUCAAGAACUCCUUUCAAUUCAUAAUCUAGACCCACAAGUCAGGUGUUGGUGUAACUUGAUUUUACUUUACCAAAAGUGUUUCAUUUAUGCAAAGGACAAAUAAAUAAACACCCAUUUGGAAACAAUACUAACACUGAUUGAGACCAUCAGCUGGGAGCAGCUAAUGUUACACCACAACCUAAGAAAUAAAAGCACAGUCCACUCUCUCUCAUCUUAGUAGAUUCAGCUUCAGAUCAUAACUUAAGACCCACUUGUUUACACCAUAACCGAGGAAAUGAUUCCUCGGUCAUCCAUUUGACAUGAUCUGUAGCCCAACAUAUAUAGCCUGACUCGUGCAUGUAUCAAUUAGUAGUGAAAGAAAAUACUUUGUAACAGUUGAAAAGUUGAUAUGAUGGAAAAAGCAAAAAAACUACACCGCAGUCCCAAACAAGUUGGGGUUGGCUCAUAUGAUGGAAAAAGCAUUACAUCAAAAUCUAAAUCAAUAUAUUAAAUGCCUUUGAUACUUGAAACAUGUGAAAAUCGUAUGAAAUAGUAUUAUGAAUACUAUAGCGUUACGCAUUCUGGAUUUUCCAAAGACAAUGCAAUAUAAAUUGGAGGAUGGACACUAACAUUUUGUUACCCGAGUUAAAUUAACAUCUGAAGGCAAAGGAGAGAAAUCACGUCUAGGCUCUCAACAGAGCUGACAAUUCUUUAUUAACUUACCUGUGGCACAAAAAUGCUUCCAGUGGUAUUCAGUCCCACUCCUUCAUGGAGUAGAGACAACACAGUUGGAGGCACUGCAGAUCUAUCAUCAGGUGGAUCAAUCUUUUUACCGCAGACAUAUGCCUCAACCACAGUCAUCUACAAAGGAAAAAUUAAAAUAGAAUUGAAGCUCGGCACCAUUGUAAAGCAAAGCUGUAUACAAUAUAAAUUGGCUCUUCAUACACAACAUCAGCGCUAAACCCAGUCCCAACCAAGAAGGGGAAAAUGGAACAAAAAAGGAAAGGAAGAGAAAGUGGGGAAAAAGUACAAGAGGUUGUAAAAAAAUUCCACCUGAUUCAAAGUCAAGGUUCCAGUUUUAUCACUGCAAAUUGUAGUUGCAGAGCCCAUAGUUUCACAAGCAGAAAGCCUUCUCACCUGCAGUUAAAUGUUGUUUAGAACACAGAAUAUCUUAAGAAAAGAAUUCAGAGAAAGAUUACUGCUCCUACCAAAGCCUUAUCUGCCAUCAUUUUCCUCAUUGAAUAGGCAAGCCUGCAAGAUUAUAGUUGACCACAAGUCAGACUACUUCAUACCAGUUGUGGAAACACAUGAAUAUAUUAUUGCAAAGACAAAUAGUAAAUUCUCCAAAGUUGAUGAAGAACACAAGGACCAAAAUAAUUAAUCACUUGGAGAUCUACCUUCACAACCAACAGAUUUGAGCUUAACAACCAAGGCAUCUAACAGAGAAGCAAGAACUGAAGGACCGUACUUACGUUAGGGUAACUGCCAAAGGAAGUCCUUCUGGCACUGCCACAACCACAAUAGUAACCUACAUUUUCCACAGGUUCACUGAUUUCAGAUGACAAACAAUUAAAGAACAUAAAGGUCAUAAAAAAGAGCACAUACAGCAACAGUGAAGAUCUUUAUAGCUCCAUCUACAGCCUUGCCAACCCUUGUUUUCCCAGCUUUGAAUUGAACAGUGCCGUCUGGGUUAUAAGUAUGCCCAGUAAAGAAUCUGUUCAUAAAAUCUCAAACUUAAGACUCUUGGAACAGUAGAGGCAAGGUGAAGUGAUAAGAGCGUCAAUUGAACUCCAGCACUACCUGAUCAUAAGGACAAUCAGAACAGCUAAAGCUACAGUGAGACCAACUAUACCAAUGAAGGUUGCCACCCCAUUCAAACGGACCUAAAAUGAAUUGUACAAAAAAAUUUAAGUAGUGAAUGUUGAUCCUUCAGCGCGGUCAUAACAUUUUACACCCAAAUAACCUGCAAUGGUGUUUCCUCUCCAUUAUCCUCUGUAAUGCUUGCCAUCAGCAAUCCCCAUUCUGUGUUUAUUCCAACGCCUAUCACCUGAAAAUGAACACUAAUGUGUUUAAAAUCUUUCGAUCAAUCAAUCGAGCAUGCCUCAAUCUCAAACAAAGUUGGAGUUGAUCAUAUGAACUCCUUGUAAGCAUUCCGCUCUAUCCAGGCCCAAACCAUUCCAAUGCUUUGCUUAUUUAAUGUCUUUGCAACAAAUUAGGGAUCUCUAAAGUCAUUUGAAUAUUAGAAAUUAAGGUUUAGCGGAAAUGACCAAAGUAGUCCCUUCAACACACUAACGUCAUACAGAAAAGGAGCCUACCAGCAUCGUUCCAUAGCCAUCGGCUACUUUGCAUCCAGACAUAAGGAAAGGUGAUUUUGAAUCCUUGUGAACCUGGGUAACAAAUUAAUAUCAGUUAAAAAGGAAACAGCAGUGUAACCUAAGAGAUUACUAGAAACACUCACAAUCUUGCUCUCUCCUGUCAUGCUUGAUUCAUCAAUCGCAAGAGAGUGACCCGAGAUUAAUAUUCCAUCAGCAGGUACCUGCAAUCAAUGUAGAAAAAUAAAUUCAUAGAAAGAUUAUAUCGUAGUUACAACAUCAAAAAAGGGAAGAAAAAGAAACUGACCUGGUCACCAAUUUUCAGAGGCACAACAUCACCAACAACUACAUCAAAUAUUGAAACGGGAAUUCUCCGCCCACCUCUAACAACCUGUACAAAGUACGCUAAGAAUAUUUGAAAAAAACAAAAGGGAAGGACAGAAAACAGGAGACUGUCACAAGCAAUACACCGGGAAAGAGUAGAAGACAAACCUCAAUUUGUAUGUUCUGCUUCUCUUCAUUAAGAUUUUGAAACUGAAGUGAUUGCUUAUAGUCACUAACAGCUGCAAAUUCAUACAGUAGAAAUGUCCAGUUACAAACAGGAGAGCAAGAAAAUGAACUUUUAAACUAAGGCUUUAUUCAUUAGUCAGAUAUAAUCCAGAGGCUAAAAGGUUUCUAUGCAAUGGAUUGUAUCAACAACUUUAAAUUUGGGAAAAUAAAUAUAGACAAGUAAAGGCAUGUUAGACUUAGAUGCCUUUUUAAUAAGCUGUUUAUGAUAUUGUUGUAAUUGAAACUACUAUUCAAGAGCACACAAGAUUUUCUGCUCUGAACUCGUUUUCCUUUCACAGUUUCUUUUCCAACUCAUAUGCUGUGUUUACUCGUCUAACUAGGCGAAGAAUCACAGACUUGACAACAUCUGCAUCCUUAUAACAAAAUAAUGUGAUAAUGCUUUUGGUAUUUCGGUAUUAGCACUGAACAUGUAGUUUUCUUUUUAUCCUACAAGUUGCUUGCAAAAUGGACAGUUAUACCUUAAGAAAAAAACCUAAAUAAGAAGUGAUACUGGAACUGUAAGUUGUAGAAGCAUUGGUUGCUACGAAAAAUCAAUUUGCCGAUUAGGAACUUGGAGGGAGAUAUUGAAUUAUUCAUGAAAUGUUUACCCCAGUGCAGGAGAUGUUCAUCUAGAGCUCGAGUCUUAAGUCUCUUAUACAUUAUCUCUAGUAUAAUGCACAAAAUAAUGAUCUUGCCUUAUCCCAUCUGGCAUAGCAAAUGACUCUUGGACUUCUACUAUGUAAAAAUCCUCCAUGUACGAUUGGCAUAUAUAUCAAACUACGAUUAUCAGUAUGGUCAUCAAUCAGUCACUCAGUCUAUACCAUCCUGAAUUAAAUAUCAACUAACCUAAUCAGUCUCUCAGUCUUUCCCUUUCUAAAUCAAAUUUCAACUAAGUUUGUAGUUCUGAAGUUUGAUAUGGAAUUCAAAGAAUAUCAACUUAAGCAAUCUAAAGACCGAAUCCGACCAUGUUAUUGAUAAAUUAUCCAGUGUUAAGAGUUGAUUUGACAUUGCACAUUUUUCAUAUCAGCCAAAUUAAACACAAGUUUAACAUCAAGACCUCUACUGAAAUAAAAUCUCUAUGUAAAUCCUUGUACCUGUCACAACUAUGACAAUAAUCACUGCCAAAGCAAUGCUUCCUCCAUCGUACCAUCCUUCUUUUAUACCCUAACAGAACAAGCUUAAAUUAGAGCAGAGAAGAAACUCACGAGACAGAUAUUGAAUUACUUGUUUGAAGACAAAACAUAGUGGAAAAGUUAGACAUAACAUGCCAAAUAAUUGUUGAGAAAAAGGAAAAGAAUAAAGAUGUUCAUGGACACAAAUUGAUGGAUAUUGGUGCAUUGUUCUCUAUAUGCUUAUCAUAUGUGCAAUUCCGAUAAAAGAAAAGGAACAUAAGAGCUUUUUUUAUAGUUAAGAACGUAAAAAAUUUUACUAACACAAAUGUGUUUUUCAAGAUCUACAAAGCUAUAACCAUUCACCCCCGGCCGCAGUUGUGUAAAUCUACAAAUUAUAUCUCCACUCAAUAUCAAUAAAGGAAAACAGAGAUUCUUUCUACUGAAAUAUCAAUAAAUAGUUUCCCAGUGCAGGAUUUAUAUCCUAAAAUCAGGAACAGAAAUAAUCAUGUGUUUCAGCCCACCUCAGUCUUUAUGCCCAGCGCCAAUGAUGCAGCUGCGGCUACCAUCAAAAUAAUCAGGGUUGUAUCACAGCAAGCUUCCCAGACAAACCUCUACAGUGGAGAACACAAGAAAAGGGUGACUAUGUUUGAUGAUAAAUAACGUGAUAAUGAUUCUCAACAAUAAAUCACGGCAUUAAAUGAUGCAAUAACUAUAACACAUACCCAGAAACUCCUCCCUUUCUUCCGAGGAUAUGUGUUGGAUCCAUAUGCAUUCUUCCGUUUCAGCAGAUCUACUUCAUCUCCAUCAAUUCCUUUAUCUAAAUUUGUUUUCAACUUCUCUGACACCCCUUUAACCUGAUGUUACAACAUUUCAUAACAGAAAUAGAGAAGACUAUAACUUCAUCCAGCACUCAUAUGACUCGAAGAAAAAAAUUAAAGAUUUUGAAGGUGAACUUGCCCCUCCACAUCACUGCAAAGCAGGGACGUCGUGCUCUCUAGACAUAUACGCCAGCUCCUCUUGGCUGAUAUCAAACUCGCCGAGGGAGGUAGUAGUUGUGGGCAACGUCUUAAGAGCCUCAUCCCCUAAAAUAAGAAACACAUAAGACAAAUAGUAUUCUGCCAAAACAUGUGACAAACAGAAAAAUCUACCAUUUGAAAACACGACUAGAAGAUGCUGCCUCAAAGAUGCACCUAUAGCAGAUCAUUCAAAACUAUAGCAAAACAGCCCAAUGGUAUUACUCACCUUCAACUACAAAACAAAGUCACUGAUUCUUUUGGCAUAAAAUAUCAGCAAAGAUAUAGCAAUUGCAGUAAGAGAGUAACUAUGGAAGAAAGUCCUACUUAAUUCGAUUACCAUGUUUUCCUUUCUGUCAUAAACUCUUUGCAGCAACAAUUAUCCAUCAGUAAUUAACUCUGCUUCUGUAUUCUUGGUUUGCGACAACAAGCAUAUUUUAACCUAUUUCUUAAUUUUAGUAUAAUAACCAUGAGACAUAUUUUUUACUAUCCACUUUUCCCCACUUACAUCAGCAUUCCGGUUAUUAAAAAAAAAAGGGCAGCCCGGUGCACUAAGCUCCCGCUAUGCGCAGGGUCCGGGGAAGGGCUGGACCACAAGGGUCUAUCGUACGCAGCCUUACCCUACAUUUCUGUAAGAGGCUGUUUCCACGGCUCGAACCCGUGACAUCCUGGUCACAUGGCAGCAACUUUACUAGUUACACCAAGGCUCCCCUUCCAUUCCGGUAAUUAGAUAUGGACAAAUUUAGCUAAAGCUAAACAGUCAGCGCUGUCACAUCAUAGAUUUCACUCGAUGACUUAAAGUAGCAUCGGGAAGUGUUUACCAUUGACUGUUCGCCCCGCUUCUUGAAAAAGAACAGCUGCCUGAUUCAUUGCAAAAAGGAACAAACAUUAUUUACUUCCAUUUAAAGCACUGAAGGGUAACAUGAAUAUUGGAGAGUAAUAUUUACCCGAAUAACUUGGGCAUGGGUUCUUAUUUUAGCAAUCAAUUGCUUUCUUUCUUCUUCCUUUUUUAAGUCCAAGGUAUAUCGAAAUCGACGAGAAGCAUUAAGGACAAGCGCAGCUUGCUGAAAGAUUAGUCAGGUCAGCAAAAGUUUAUACCGAUCAUAAAUAAAUGGAAGAAAAGCAGUUCCCAAGAAUUUUGAAUAAUAAAUUAAAUUCAUAAAGGGAAAAGGCAAACAUGCAGCAGUUGUCUAACCGGCAAAGAAACAAAGAAAUCUAAAGCACCAGCUUCUCCAACACAUCGACAAACAAAAUAUAACAAAAGACAAUUCACAUAACCAGCAAACGAACUGCCCUCUGCCAUUUUGGAAAAUAAGAUUUAUUGUCUUCUUGAAGGCAUAACCGCCAUCAUGGGAUUGGCUUCAAUUACAGUCUCACCACUGUAGUAGUGUCCAUACAUUCCACAAUUAAAAAAAAAUCACCCUUGAAGUAAUUUUAAAAAACAAAAUGCUAUCAUAAAGGAACGUGGACGUUGAUAGCCACAUUGCAUUGGGUAAGAGAAAAGCUUUGACACACCACAUAUAUCCCCUUGGUAAUUAUAAAAUUUGGAUUCACUAUAGACCAUCAGAAGGACCACGCUGUAACCAUUUGGGUUUUGGCGACGGUUGCAACAACGAAUUUUUUCCUUUUGGCAUAAACAAUCAAUGGCUCCACUUCCUUUAAUAUGUUUAUCAAGAAACUCACAGGGAAUCAGAGACCAAUUUCUCAGUGCAUUAUCUCAAAUGUAAACCAAGUCGCUCAUGAUAGACUGAUAAAAAAGGUUAAUAUUAGAAAAUUUUCAAAUAUAAACAUGACGGAUUGAAGGCAAUAAAGACUAUCCUUUCAGUCUCAUCACCAACAUGGGCCACAAGAAAACUCUAAACAAGUUAAUAAAAAGAGGAUAAACUAGAAUAAAUGAAACGCUUUAAAAGCAGAAAAUCAAUGUCUCUAGCAGUGAUACCUAAGUUCCAUCGUAUCUCAAACUUCUCCCUCCAGUCAAUUCAUUAAGCAUUGUCAAACAGGUGAUUCAAGUCAUCCAUUUUAAAAAUUAAAAUAAAAAAACUCGCAUAUUGAAAGGAUGGAAGUUGGAGAAAGCUGUCAUUUCACAAAGCCAAUACCAAAUUCACUGACAAAUAACCCUAAAGAAAAACUAUAAUCCAUUUCCCCAGAAGUCUUGACCUAUCAGAAAACAAAAAAUGGUUGCCACCUUAUGCAAAUUAUACUCCAUGGAUCAUUGGAGCACCUAGAAACGCCACCACUCCCUCAACUGCUCAACCCAUAGAAGACCAAUACGCAAUUCUCCUAAUAAAAUAAACACUACCACAAAAGAAAAUGAUAGGUGAAACACUAAACAAAAACUAAUAAUCAAAACCCACAAAAAUUGGAUGUUGUGACUUACCAGAAAAUCACUGAAGACUGUUACCACAUUAUUUAGCACUCUCAAUAUGUAAAACCAAAAUUGACCAAGUUGAAACCGAAAAAAAAAAGAUAAAAUAACCAAAUACGCAAAUGGUCUUACAAACACAGUAAAGCCAAAACCAUGGAUCCUUAAACCCAACACCCUAGCCACCCACCCAGCACACACGCAUCACAAGCACAAAAAGCACAAAACUGAAAGAAGAAAACCAAUCGGAAAACACCCACUUGAAAUUAUCACCCUACACAUGACAGGACAUAACACCAACAAAAGUAAAAAUACCCCAACAUAAUGCACCCCAAAAAAACCCCCACUGUAUGCCCUGAUAUGUAAAAAAGAUUUAGAUCACCAGGUCACCCAAAAACGCAAUUGCAGGUUCUCUAUACAAACAUUAAUUUGUAACCUUUAAAAAUGGAAAGCAAUCUUCUAUAAUAUGUCAAAAUACACAGAUAAUAUAAGAAAAUCUUUACAUUGAAAGUGCAUAUAACUAAAACUCAAGAAAAGCAAAGAAGAAAUACCCAAAUACGACUUUACUCCAAAAAAAAAAUCACAUAAAACAAACAAAAAAACUACUAUUCUUCGGUCCCAAACAAGUUGGACUCAGCUAUAUGAAUCCUGACUAACCAUGUUACUCCACUUAAACUCAUCUCAUGCCAACAAUUAUGCAAAUACAAAUAAAAAGUGUUAGAAGUUAUGUAAGUUUUCUAAAUGUGUAAAUCUCAAAAAGGCUAAAUCACUCCUAUAAAGAAUAGGACCUACAGUAAAAAGUGUUAAUAUCUAAAACAUAUUCUCAACUAAUAUAUCAUCUUCUUCUUCUUCCCGCCUAGUGCGCUAAGCUCUUGCGGGGUCCGGGGAAUAGUGGGGUCCCGGGAAAGGGUGGACCAAAAGGUCUAUUGCACGCAGCCUUAUCUUGCAUUUCUACAAGAGUUUGUUUCCACGGCUCGAACUAGUGACCUCUCGGUCACAUGUUUCCACAAGGCUCUCAACUAAUAUGCAUAGCCUAUAAAUAUACCCCAACAAAAUGCACCCAAAAACCCCCAUAAAACAAAAUUAACAAACAAUGAAGAAAUACCCGAAUAAGAUUUCACCCUAAAAAUCAUAUUCCAAAAAUAACUAGGUGGUCGGCUAUAUGAAUCCUUGUUGACAACAUUACUCCAUUUAAACUCAUCUCGUGUCAAUAUUAUGCGAGUACAAAUCAAAAAAUUGAAAGAUAUUAGAAUAAAAAUUCAUUCAAAAAAAAAAGAAAGUACUAACCCUCCAGCGUUUCAAGCGGUCAAUAGGUGCGCUCUUAGUCCUUGGAAUAUCAAAAGGACUUCCACCACAAUCCAUAGACCUGCUACUGCUGCCAUUAAUCCCAGCUUCCAAAUCCUCAUUACUAUUCUGAUGCCGCCUAUACGGCGACGUUUUCACAUUUUCUUCACCACUCAUCUUCUGUGAUUGUCGCAGGAGAGAUGACACCAGAUUUGACACAACAAUUUUUUUUCUCACUGUAUUAUUUUCAAAUCUCAUAUAAACAAACACACCAAAAAAAUCAUAUAAUUUUACUAGGGUUUAUCGCCUAACACCGACCAAACCACAUUAAUAUUUAAAAUACCAAGAAAAACACAAAUAUAUAAGUAAAUAAAUUCUUUAACAAGGCAGAUCAACUACUUUAAAACAUAUAUUUAACCAAAAUCACUAUUUUCAUCUCGAGCUAUGUGCCAUUAACCUUAAAAAAAUCUUUUAAAAAAACAUACAUACUGUCUUCAAUUUUACUGACACUAAACCAUAUAUUUGUGAAUUAUUUUACUGUAUUUUGAAUUUCAUAGAAGAGAAUGUAGUGAGAGAGAAUUACCGAUUGUUGGAGUAACCGACGCAAUGUGACAACUGAAGUGCAGAGAGAGCAAUGUAAAGUAAAUUGCUUUUGUGUUUUCGUAGAAAGUGUUAGGAAGUUUCGUCCCCUUUUUAGGAGGGUUUUCAAAGAAAAAGAAGAUUUUUAAACUUCUCUUUUAUAAAUUGAGACUUAGUUUGUACAAGCGGUCCUACACAUGGUACAACGUCUAAAUUGUAGUAGUAUUUUUAAAAAGUUUCCCUUUUCGGUUUUUUUUUAAGUGUAAAUGUGUAAUACGAACAUAAUUACUGAUUAUAAACAGUGAUAUUUUUUCCGCAUUACCACAAAGAAUUCUAGUGUAAAAGAGUGAUUUUUUUUCCUCACAAUCAUCAAAAAUUGUGAUUUGAACGAUAGUUAUUUCUUCAUUUUUAAUUAGAAGUUUCGGGUUCAAUACUAAGAAAAGGCUAAAGAGGGACUUCAAACAAAUUUGGAUUAAUCGGGCUUGGGUGCAAAAUAAUACAGCAAGGAAUCAAAAAAGUAGAUAUUCCUUAGGGUUGUUAAUUGCAACUUUUUCUAUUUCAAUUUAUGUCUUAGUUUGAUGGGUACAAAAUUUAAGAAAAUAAGGAAGACAUUUAAAUUGUGCGAUUUUAAAUUAAAGAUAUGUAUAAUGUAUUCAAAUAUUCUUGAUCUUGUGGUCUUAAAUAUGGCAUAUAAAAAGUUGGAGUUAUAGAAUUAUUAAAUAUAGAAAAAUACAUUUUUUAAAAAUAAACAAAAAUAAAAAGUAAGACACAUAAAAUGAAUCAGGAGUAUGAUAACCUACAUACAAGAUAAGUAAGUAAAUCUAUUCGUAGAUAGUAAGUCUUGCGUGAGGAAUAAGUGAACGCUAAAAAGACUCUAUUUUUUACUUUUUAAGUAGGAAAUUAAAGUCAAAAUUUGUAAAUGCAUUUAUUGAUCCUUUCUCAUGAAGCAGGCCAAUCUGCCGGGACCACGCUAGUCUUUAGCUUUUUCAUUUUCUCAAAAAAACGCGUUUGUUUUUAUUUUUUAAAUUUAACCUUACUUUUUUGUUUCUUGAAUAUGGUAUUUUGGAGUAAAAUAUUUAUUUCUUUCUUUUUUGCAAUAAAAACAACGCGGUUUUUACUUUUGUUGUAUCUUGAGGAAGCCCUAAAAGGGAGGCACGUUGGAGGAUACGUGGGAUUUGGUGGAACCUACUACUAUUGCAUAACAUUAUUAAAAUAAUGACUAUAGUAUAUAAUAAAAAUACGACAAGAUUUUAAGUAUUGUUUGUGUCACUUACUAAUUAUGCUGAGAUUAUAAUAGUAAAGAAAGUGACACUGUAUAAUCACUCUCAAAAUAAUAGCCGUAAAAAUAUAUUUUUUGAAUAUAUAUAUACAUUUUGUAUGUCAUAUAUAAAAAUUAUACAAAUUUUAUAUACUUUUUCGGCUAACGAAUAUAAAUAGUUUUUGACACGGGUUAAAAGUGAUAAUACUUCAUUAUAGUACGGUAUAAUUAAUUGACUGAUUAACGAAAAAAGGACAGUAUAAUGUACAAGGUAUCCCGCGUUCACGCGACGUUCGAAAAAGGAUCAUACUAUAAGGGGUGUUAUUUAGACAGUCUAAUAAGGGAUGAAGCUAUGUAUGGCUAAAAAUGGUCGAUUGAACACCAUUUGCCUAAAAUUUAUACUAUAUAUAGAAUAAAAUAUUACUUGUUAUUGAUUAAAAAUAUAUUUUGACCACCUUUAUUGAACUUUCUGACUUUGUCACCGAAUCUAAUUGAGUGAUUAACAAUAAAGGAUUAUUAUACAUGAAUUAUUUACUAUAAAAAAUAGUUUAUCUUUAUUUGAAUUAUUAGUAAUACACGUAUUUUAUUAUUCUCACAUAACUUAUGAUAUCAAUGGAAAACUUUUACAAAAUUUAUACUAGAUAAUUAAUUGCUUUAAUUCUACAGCCAAACGACUCUUAAAUUAAAUCUUAAAAAAUAAAAAUUGUGAAUAUAUAAAUUUAUUUACAAGGACAGAUGGGUUACAUGCACCAUACCAGAUAUAAAGGACAUUGUUGUGUCUCCCAACAAAUACCCCCACAUGAUUAUGACUUUAUAUGAGUCAUUAAAUAUUAAUUUCCUCUUCUGGGGGUUAACUACGUGUUUCAGAGAAGUAUAUUUUUUUAUAUUUUGGUAUUGUCUGGUUUAACUGAAAAUGACAACUUAAAAAGGGCGUAUCUAAUUGUUCCUUUAAAAGUAUGUAUAUUGUUUAUUUAGUGUCAUAAUUAGGUGGCAUUUGUCUGAGUUUUCUCAGAAACUCCUUUUGCUAACUCCGUUUAGUGGAGAAAUGUUUGUUUGAGAAGUUUAUGCAAGAAACAUAAUGUUUUUAAAGAUUUUCAAAUUCAUUUUUUUAAUUAAAAAAACCCGGAUUUGUUAUUGAUCACUAUUAUGGGUUCUCUUCUCUCUGUUGCAUGUGAUUACUCUAAUUAAGAUGAAUUAUUGUACAAUAAAGUUUAUUUUUGGAACAUGAUCUUGCCACUAGAAGUGUAUCUAUCAAGUAUCUUACUUCAGAAGACAACGGGGAAAAAGUAUAUAUAAUAGAAGAACGCAUUUUAAAAAGGAUCGUGAAACCUAUACGAAGUUUCAAAUAAUAUGGUGAUUAUAUAUACAAUUAUAUAAACUAUUGUGUGAUGCUAUUAUUUACAGACAACAAUUUUUCUUGCACCAAUUAUAAUUCCUAGUAUAUUCCUCUAGUUAAUGGAAAAAUACUAAUGGCAUUGUACAAUGCGGAAUAAAACCAAAUAUAAAUAUAUAAUAUCGUGAUUAUGAAAAUUCUUUAAAAUAUAGGUUUCAUAUUUUUCCUAUUGUACAAUUUAGAUUAUUAGUCAGGCAAAUAACCCAAGAAAAAAAAACAAAAUGAAAGCAAUAUCAGAUAUUGGAACGUACCACAAAAACCGAAAGGCUCCUCGUCUCCCUUGUUUCUUCUUCUUUUAACUUUCAGAAACUGCUAAAUAUAAAGCUGAAAUUUAUAGAUGGAAACUAAGAUAAGAACUCCUCUUAAAUAAAUAAAUAAUGCAAGAGAGAGAGAGAGAGAGAGAGGAAGAAUAAAAAAGAAAUACUUCAAUUCUUUGGCUAUAAAAAGGAAAUGAUGAUGAAACCUUUGACUUCCAUUACCAAAGACAUUCACUGUUAAUUAUGGUCGACUGCCCUUUUAUAUCAUUCCUUACAUUAAUAAAAAAUAUAAAACAUAAGUAUUCGCUUCCUUUCUUUUUAAUACUAUAUUGUUUUCCUCUCUAGUUAUGCUUCAUUCGAAAGAAAAGAAUAUUUUAAAGAAUGCCAAAUGUUUAUAUUCAGUAAUCGCCGGAUGCAGGCCCUUUAUGAUAACGAGAUUCUUCACUUUAAUUUCCUUUUUUCUGUUUUUAAUACUCCAUUAAAAACAACUGAUUAGUAAAUUGCAUUUUUAACACGUAUUUGUUCCAGCUAGCUAUUUAACAACUAAUAAUAAUAUAUUCCAAAGCAAGACAAUCCAACCAAGAAAUGUUAAAUUGCGACCAUCUUAUCUCAUAAAGAUUAAUUGUUAGACAGUAGUACUAUAUUUAAUUACUAUUAUUAUAUUAUUAGUACGCGGUUCUUACAUGAAUUAAGCAUGUGAACUUAUUGUCAAUAACAGGUGACAGUGAGAUUUCUUUUUUAAUGCCCUCAACCUCAAGCGAUGUAUUAUCUAGAAUAUUCGUGUGGACGCGGCAUUGCAAUAACGGGCUUAUAUGUCUGACAUUUUUCAUUUGUCUUAGGUUCAAGCGAAGGCAUAUAUAUAUAUAUAUAUCAAGUUAGGCGCGAAAUACCCGAAAAUACGUCUAAACUUGGUUUGGAUUAUUAAUUUCAUCUUCAAAUUAUGUCUAAUCUUAAUUACCCUAAACUUGGGUGUCCGGCCCUACAUUUAUGGGGGCUUUUAAUGAUAUUAAAUCGUAUGAUCGUCUCAAACUAUAAUUAGUAAAUAUGAGAGGAUAUCCUUGUUUACUUGUCCUAAUUUACCUUUGUGUGUAAGUUGCUAGGAAAAGACCGUUAAAAAAAAAUAAAAAAAUCUGUGAGUUGAUGAGUCAUGAGCAGCUGAUUUCACGUUAAGCAUCUGUCAAGGGGAUAUGAAAGCCAGCAAAGCAAAUUUGAAAGCAAGUUUUUGAGUUGCCGACUAACAACUCCCAAUGUGACAAGAGCGGGUUGUUUUGGUUGUGAUCAUCUUCCACUUUUAAUUAAGAGGUUGUGAGUUUGAGUCACCCUAAGAAUAAGGUGAGAAGUUUUUGGAGGAAGAGAGCCGAGAGUCUAUCGAAAAUAACUUCUCUAUCUCAGGUCUCUACCUCAGAAGCCUCUUUCCAAAUCUCACUAGUAAAAUUAUACUUUGUUAUUGUUGUUAUUUACUAACAACUCCCAAUCACUUUAGCACCAAAGACAAGUAAAGAAGAAAGCGACUUCUUAUAAGGUGACAAGGGCUGAUAAAGUGUGAAAAAUUAAAGAUGCUGUCAAACCUCUUCGUAUACUUUAUUUGUUUCGAUAUUUUUUGGUUAUUAUAGUAAAAUAUUAUAUAUAUAUAUAUAUAUAUAUAUAUAUAUAUUACAGUCAGANNNNNNNNNNNNNNNNNGGGUUUUGAAAAAAAAUUAAAUAGCUUGAUUGAUAGUCGUUUUGAGUUGAAUAUCAUAGGUUGAAUGUUGAAUGUUUUCUUUGAAAAUAAUUGUCAUAUAAGUCAACAAUUAAGAUGGAAAAAUAAACAAAGAACAAUACAAGUAAAUUAAUCUAGUCAAACAAAGAAUAUAUAGUGUAGUUAAGGUACUCUUUAACCAAAUAUUUAUAUUGGAGGCACUCUUUCAUGAAAUGUUAUUUUUCUUUUGCAUUUUUAUUUAGAAUGUGUAUAAAUUAAGCGUUAAAAAUUUGAACUAAAAUCGAACUUAUUUGCUUUGUUAAUGAAAGACUUAUUCAAAUUAACCAAAAACUAACUGAACCGACCCAUUAUUCUUAAUCUGUCUUUGUAGUUACUGACAUGUAUAUUGUAUGCAUAACAUGGUGGCACCCGCAACCUUUGAAUCCUGGAUCCGCCUCUGGGCCUCCCCAGACCUCACUAGUGGGAUUAUACUGAGUUGUGUCUAUCGAAAAUAACAUCUCUAUCCCAAAGUAUGUCUGCGUAUAUCUAUUCUCCUCAUACUCCAUUAAUGAGGUUAUAUUGGAUUGUUGUUGUAUCAACUUAGUCGAACUGUCGAAGUAAGCAUAACAUAGAGAUCUAGACCGCAUCCGAGGGAUCCUAUUUCAUUCAAAUUCAACUAUGGGAGCUGAUUUCAGACCGAAGCCGUAAUACUUCAAGUCAAACAUCCUUAUAUUAAUUUAAUACCAAAUCAACAGUGGGGGAACAAAUGUACAUAAAGAAGCCGUAAUUCAAGUAGAAUAUGUUGGUUUAUUUAAAAGGUCUACGUCACUUUCGUUUGUACUUGUCUUGACUUUAGUACUUCAGGUUACAUCUUUUCCCAAGUUACGAUACUUUUUAGUUAUAUUAUGUCUUUUUGGUGUACUCUUUGUUUGUAUACGUAUAUUUCUUCAUUUCUAAAUCACCAUAAAGUUAAGCUACAACUUACAUUGAAAAAGAAUCGUAUAUAUGUGGAUGAACGAAGAAAGACAGGUUAAUAUCCACAUAAUUAAAGAGAGAAUAAUCUAAUUCUUGUAUCAAUGCUAGUGCACAAUUAAUCUACACCACCGACUAAUUUCGUGGGCGGAUAGAAUCGCUCCAUCUCUAUUUCAUAGGUCUCAUGUUCAAACUAUGAGAAUAAAAAAAUUCUGGUAGUGAGCAUUUCCCUCUUACACAGGCCCUUUGCGGCUUGUAUUAAGAGACAAAUGUAGUGUUAAUUUUUAUUAUGGUUCAUUUGAACGUAAUAGUAUUGGUUCAUGCUUUGUAUAUCUAGUAAAAAAUCAAUACAUAAUAGAUUUUAAGCCUAGUAAAUCAAUGAGUUGUGGUAGAAUCACAAACUUGAACACACAAAAUUUAAAUUGUAGAUCCGCCUCGAUAUAUAUAUCUUGAUUAAACAAGUAUGUAGCUUCCAAGUACCAGAUGGUUAAACAAAAUAUGCACAAAUUACAUAAUUAAGAGGGUUAAAUCAACAACACUAAGAAAGUGUAGCACAUUAAUUUCAUGGCUUCAUCUAAGCACUACAAUUUCUUGUCAUUUAAUUAGUUGCUAAACGAUCUACAUCUAUAUCCAAAUGAUUCAACAAUGCGUAAUUAAGUCGAUAACUAACCCUUAAAUGUUUUUUCUAACAAAUUAAAUUGAUACUUCUAACUUGUCUUUCACCUUUUGUCAAACAAAAAGUAGACUUUAAAAUCUUGAUGAAAGGGAUAACUAGUGAAUUUUUAAUUGGGAAAUGACACUGUAUAGCCGCACUCAAAAUAAUAGUCAGAAAAAUAUAUAUAUUUUGUAAUUGUUUUGUACAUAUAUACAUUUUUAUAUGUUAUAUGCAAAAAAUAUAUAAAUUUUAUUUGCGGCUACUGAUGGUAGGUUAGAAUCACGUGUUUUAAUCUUAGUUUGCACUCUAAACACUGCAUUUUACUUGUGGUUGGGCUUGAAUAAUAGUGAUUUGCACUUAUUAUGUGUUUUAUGCCUUGUAGAAAGUGAUUUCGAGUUAAAAAGAUAUUCGGGAGCUAAAUGGAACAAGUUGGAGCUUUAAAAUUUAAGUAAAAACUCAAGGGAUUACACGGGAUCGCGUUCGGGUGUCGGAAGCGAAGUGUGGAUAUCAAAAAUAGACAAAAUAAAUCACUGUGUAAAAAAUGCACAGCCGUGCCGUAUGGGGCGGUGCAGCAGUAGAAAUUUCUGCUGUCUGUCAUAACCUGCUCUCUGAACUUUUCCACUAGCACCCCGCAUGGGGCGGCGCGAGGCGCCUGUGUAGUUUUCUCAAAGUAGUUGUCAUGUUUCGGCUUGGAAAAGGUAAUUUCGUAUGGGCCCACUCUCACAUGGUAUAAAUACACCAAAAAGACGUUUUUGAAGGGACUUUUGACCUUGGAACCUUUGGGAGAGCAUUGGAUGCUACAAGACACGGGAUUCCAUCAUCUUUCUACCAAUUCAAUACGCGAGUUUGGAUUGUAACGUUAUAUUGAUGUUUUCUCAUUCUUUAUUAUAUUUUGUGAUGACUUCCUCCAUGAUUAUAGAGUGGUUUAUCUUAGGGUUUGACGGAUAUGGUGCUUUGAUAAAUAUUUGUGGAUUUAAACUCUAGUUCUUGCUUGAAUUCAUUUAUUUGAAUUGUUGCAACUUUAUUCAUCAGUUUAUUUAAUCGAAAGAUGAAUAUCUUGGUGAUUAUCUUUGCAUUAUUUUGUUUGAUUUAAUUCAUUGAUUCUCAUAAAUAAUCGAAAGAGCUUGUUGAAUUGUUGAUUGAAUCAAGCUAGGAGAAUAUUCGAGAGACGUUUCCUAAGGACCAAUUCAUUAACGCAUGCUUGCAUGCUUCACAGUGCUUAUAUUAGUUCAUCUCGUAAAGUUAAGAUUUAAUCGAGGGAGGAAUCUUCUACACAUUUGAACUAAUCAUCGAGUGAAUUCGUGAGAAUCAUUAGAAUAUUAAAGUGAAUUAAACUAGAGUUAAGUCUCAAAUAGCUAUCUUGCACCUAUCAUGUCAAACCCUUAUCCCUCGCAGUGAUAAGAAAUCACUCUGCGAAUCCCCGAUUCCUUGAUGUCAAUUGUCAAUUGCGUUAUUUUAAUAGUUAAACUUAGAUCAUAAUCAUUUAACUUAUGUGUUGAUCCUCUUGAAUAGAGAUUAAACCGCGAAUUACUUGAACAUUAUUUAAAUCUAAUCCUUGUGGAGACGAUAUUAUACUAUACUAUCUUUGAUUAGCGAGUAUCAAUUUCGUGUUGUGUUUUGCGCUCGUCAGCUACCGGAUGUAAAUAGUUUCAGUCGUGGGUUAAAAGUGAUCUUUGCCCUAUUUAUUUUUUAUGACGUAAUGUUCGGAUCAUCUUGCGCACAUCUCAACUAUUCAAUCGAUUAUAUAUUAAAUUCCACUAGCAUAGAUAUCAAGUGUAUCUACCUAAUUCCGAUCUUUUAAUUUGUAUUCAUCUCACUUCUACAUCUUCUCAUCUUCUCUCAUGUGGAUACUAAACAAUAAAAAGGUAUAUGUACUCAACUUUCAUUUUAUUAGUCAUUUACAAUUAAAUUAGGAAUCAUUACACAAAUAUUCGACUAGGAUCAUUAUUUAUUUUUUCUAGCCGGUGUACUUUGUACAUGGUUAUACCCAUAAUGUAUAUAAAGUAUACAUAUAUUAUAAAUCUAUCGGUUAUUUUUAGUUUAAACGAUUUGGUGAACUGCUAUUAGGUUAACUAGUAUUAGCAAUCGCGCAGAUGCGCGGACACUAAUUAUGUCAAAUAUUUAAGUUUAUUCGAUUAUAUGUAAAUAAUCUUAAAAUUUAAACUUUCUCAGUAAAUAUAGAUAAUCAUUGGAUGUUAAUAAUAAACACUACAUGAAAAAAAUUAACCAUUUUUUCUAUUUUUCUUUUUUGAUAUCAUUCUCGCGCGGUGUCAUUGGAUCCUAAAAAUANNNNNNNNNNNNNNNNNNGAAAUUCCAAUUUCUAAAACUUUAUAUAUAUUUCAAAAAUGAUUAUCUUUAUAAUGAUACAAGUGAAGAUAUAAUCCUUAAUUUAAAAUUUACUUUAAUCGGUUAUCUAAAAAUUUAAAUGAUUCUUUAGCCGUAAAACCUUUAUUUCAUUAUGACUCCAUUCUAACUUUAUCGAUAUCUCUAGCCACAGAUUUUGAAUUUUUAAUACCCUAUAUAUACACCAAAAAAAAUUAUUCUUUGGAUCAUUAAAUGUUAAAUUAGUUGAUUGUUAUUAUAUAACAUUGCAUAUAUUGUCUUAAAAUUGCCAAGUAAUUUAUUUUUCGACACCAUACUUUGGCUUAACCUCAAUGCAAACUACUCAAAUUGCAUUUAAAUUCAAAUUCGAAUAUCAUAUCAGUUUGUUAAUUAUUGUGAUUUUUUUUAAAUGACACACAAUGCAAAUAAAAAAUAUAUUCUAACAUAUCCUUAUCUUAUAAUCUAUGUAUUUGAGUUGAAAAAAUAUUUGAAUUCGAUGAGAUUAGCUUCCAAUUUUUUUUAUAUUCAACAAAGAUGAAAUAUAAGAAGAAAUUCGUUGUCAUCUCUUAUUUAUGGUUUUUGGAUCUUUCAUAUAUCUUUUUCAUAUUUAUUUUCUUUUAUCUUAUAUUUUAUGUCAUUCUUUCUUUUGUUAAAAAAAAAUAAUUUAUUUCACUUUAAUCCAUAUAUAAUAUGUGUAUAAUCGUGUGUUGUCGGUAUAUCAUCUAUUUAUAUUAGCUAUAAAAAAUAAACAAUAAAUCUGGCCUGAUAUUUAUGUAAAUAUUUCAUAAGUUUUUGGGUUUUUUGCGUUUAUCCAUGAUACGACUUCUAUUAUAAUAAUUUUAAAAACUCUCUACUAAUUUUCAAAAAUAUCUUAUCUUUUUAUUAUCUUUGAAGUAGAAAAAAGUAAAGAGUUCUUUCGAAUAAUUUGUUUACAUUUUAAAAAAACUUCACGUCAUAUCAAUUUUUUUUAAAAAAAUAUACUCUUUGUUACACUUAAAAAUCACUAUAGAAACUAUCAAUUAGAAACCAAUAUCUCUCUUGUUAAGUUCGAGNNNNNNNNNNNNNNNNNNNNNNNNNNNNNNNNNNNNNNNNNNNNNNNNNNNNNNNNNNNNNNNNNNNNNNNNNNNNNNNNNNNNNNNNNNNNNNNNNNNNNNNNNNNNNNNNNNNNNNNNNNNNNNNNNNNNNNNNNNNNNNNNNNNNNNNNNNNNNNNNNNNNNNNNNNNNNNNNNNNNNNNNNNNNNNNNNNNNNNNNNNNNNNNNNNNNNNNNNNNNNNNNNNNNNNNNNNNNNNNNNNNNNNNNNNNNNNNNCAAACAAAUAUUCUUCUAAAAAGUAAAAGAUUUUUUAUUUUAUUUUUAAAUAUUAACUGAUUUUUGUGUUGUUUCUUUCUCUGGCAUGUAUGUUUACUUCAUUAUAUAUGUAAGUAAACUUUUAUUCGAUUUUUAAACUCUUUUUUGUUAUUUGGAUAAACAUAGACGUGUACCCUAUAUAUUACAUUUAUUUUAAAAUAAAUUCGCUUUAUUCAAAUCUAGCUACAGCGUUUUAAAGAACUAUAAUUAUAAGGUUUUAAAUGUGAAAGAGUUUUAUAGUUAUAAGGAGUAUUUUUUUUUUGCCAGAGGCGAAGUAGUAUUUAAAUAAUUAGAAAAGAUAACCAAAGUUUCUAACAUGAUUGCAUAUGAUUAUUAACCGAAUUAAGUAUGAUAACAUGAUUAAAAAAAAGAUAAAUUUUUAUUUUUAAUUUAAAUUCGAAUUUUAAAACUUAAUCUAUAAAUUCAAAAUUAUCUUUUAAUUCAAAUUCAGUUUAUAUAUAUAUAAUAUUUGUAUUUGACUAACAUAGUCUAAUAUAGAAUAAAGUUACUAUAUACUAUUGACAUUUAUUAGCUUGCCAUUUGACUUAACUAUAAUGUCAAUUAUAUAUGGUAACUUUAUUCAUUUAAUAUAUAUAUAUAUAUAUAUAUAUAGAGAGAGAGAUUAUUCUUCAUUCACGGGCUAUGGUUAAUCAGUUUAAUAGAAGAGUCUGAAGAGACUAGAUAUUUCCAUGAAAUUAAAACUUAAAGUUAUCGAUGCACUAGUAAAACGUACUUUAAGCGUCUUAUAAUAUAAGUAACUCGAAAAGUACCUAUAUAAUGAUCAAUGGGAGCUUAAUUUAUCCUUUUAUUUACUUGAUCUAUUUCUUUCGUUGCAUAGCAGUUGUGUAUAACAACUAAUUAAUUAUCUAUAUAUUAGUGUUACUUGUGGCUUUCCAACCUGCAAAUCACGACCCAGAGCAGUACCUUUCUUGAUUUUACAGACAGUAGAGACUAAUAUUAUAUAAUCCUUAAAAUGGAAGUUUAGGCUGUGGGCAUAAAUAUGAAGCUGGAAAAAAGACAAACGUGCACUUUGAGAAGUUACAUUAAUUUACUUAGGAGUGUUUCUUUUUGUGGACGGUGGAUUUAUUCUGAUUGUCUGUUUAGAUAUAUAGUUUAAAACUCGUAAAAAUCGAAUUUAACUUAACUGUAGUUAUUUUUACUUUCUUUCUUUUUCCCAACACUUUUGUAGGUCACGGAUUUGAAUUGCGAAAACAGUCUCUCGCAGAAAUUAGACCCUUGUGAUCCGGCCAUUCCCUGCAUCCUCCGCAUAACGGGAGUUUAUUAUACUGGGUUGCCCUUUACUUUUGUAGGAGAGUUGGAAAGACCCUACUAAUUUGAUAGACACUUUUUCUUUUUUCACACAUUUAUAAGACGGAACAACAAUGGUCUGAAAGCAUAUUGAAUGUCAAAUUGUUAUAGUACGUUUGGAAAUUGUGACAUUAAUCAGAAUAUCCUCUACACAGUCAGAUUUCGUAUUAAAUUGCUAUUUGUAACGAAUCAAUAUAUAUAUUCUUUAUUCUGCUUAUUAAGCACGAUAACCAUAUAAAGAUGAAUUAAUUUGCCAAACUUUGCAAAUUGCAACUAUAUGAAGAAAAAGUAAAGAAACCAAAUACAAAAUUGGCUGAACAAGCUCUGAGUACAUUGGUUUUCUUAAAGGAAAAAGAUGAGAAGUGUGGGUUGUAUCGAAAAAUCAAAUGGACAUGGACGAGGUAGAAGAAAAUCCAAAUAAUGAAGUUGUUACAUAAUUAUAUAAGUACGUUUAAACUUUUAGAUUAGACGGUUACAUCAUUCAUAUUUAAUUUCGCCACCCUUUUGAUUUGGUACAGUAGUUUUUUUUUUUUUUUUUUUUUUUUGUCAAGUCUACUAGUACUAAAGUCAACGAGGCAAGUAAGAAUUAUUGCAAUAUAGUACCAAAAAGUUUGUUCUUUUGCUUUUUUUCCCCUCACUUUUUCCCGGAUAAUAUCUAGAUAAUAGACUGUCCAUAGACAACUUAAUUCCUACUGAAAUACAUCAAACUUCCUGGAAGCUUAAGCUCAGAAACGCACAUAUGUCCUUUCUAUCACAUUAUCCAAAAAUAAAAUUUUGUGCUUUAAUUGUAAAAAAAGAAACAGUAUAUGAAAAGAAUCAAAUUAAUGCACAAUUAUUCAUUUUACUUUUAAUAUUUUAUGUAUGGAUAUAAAGUGAAAUAUACUUGCCUUGUGAAAAAUUAAACGUUGAGGUGAAGGAAAAGUCCUCAAGAAUCAAUCCAAAUAGGCAAUUUCUCGAAUCCACCAACCUAAAAAGAAUUAAUACAAGGUGUCAAGAAUAUAAUCAAGAAUCUAAAGAUAAUAUUGAAGAAAUUAAAGCCAAAUGCGCGUAAAAAUUGAAAUAAAGACAAUUCUUGGUUCUUACUCUGAUGUGACCAAAAGGCAGAAUCACUUAAGCUCAAAGUGUUUUGCUAUUACUAGUUGUAAAGUUGGAAAGUGAGAAAGGAAGAUAUAUGAGAAUUAUUGCAAAGACUUCAAAAAUACUAAAUUGAUGUCACUCUUUA
rnacentral:lncRNA from 1 species